UACACCUAGCUAGUAUUUCAUAUAUUUUCAGCCAGGAGGAUUGUUAUCAAGAUAGCGUUUAGGGUCUGAAAAAAAUCAAUUUCGUUUUAACAAAGUCAAAUCUUUUAGACCUUAUAAAUAAUUCUAAAUCCAUGUCAAAAUAAGUGUUGUUCUGACUAUGCACUUGCGGCUAUUUUAGGAUGGAGUUCUUUUCCUAGUAUUGAUAUAGUAUACAUGGGUGAAAAAGGUCAUUCACCCGAAUUUUAUGAACAUAUUAAUUAUAAAAAAAUGUUAUGGUGUUUUGGAGGAGUGCUACUUUAAGGUGUUGCGAGAAUUAGGAGAAAUAUUCAUUAUUCUAAGUUACACCAACUAUACUUAGAAAUUAUACCAAAAUAAUCAUUGACCCUGUAGUACAAGUGGUGUAAAAAAUGUAAAUCGAGCAUAAGUUGAUGGUAACCGGAAUUUGGAGGCGUGGAGAGAAGAAUCUUACUCUUUUUCUCUUCCAUGCAAGCCAUUUAGGAGAAGAAAGGGGAAAAAAAUGGGUGCGGUGGAGAGAAAGAUUUCCACCCGGAUACUAUGGGGGGGGGUUGUUUAGUUCUCCUUUGAUCCUAAAAAAUUUUGGGUUUUAGUUCAUUAUUUUACACAAUUGAACUAAACAACAUGUAAAUUUUUUUGGCAAAAUAGUUGUCACUCUCCAUUUUGGAUUUUGGCAUCAAGAGGCUAAAAAGCUCGAAAAAGUCUGAAGAGGCCAUAAUGAGAGUAAUAAAUUCUUCAUUUUGCAUGAAACUAAACAUAACUUUAAAAAAAUAUCAUUUUGUAUUUCAUCAUUGCAAAAUAGUUGACAUUUUAUAUUUUUCAUUCCAUGAAGAACUAAACAACCCUGGGUAGACAAACCCAAACAAAGAUAAGACAAACCCUAACAGAGAUAAAUAAAUUUGUUGUCUAACUAGUUUAGAAGGGGGUGGGUGGCGUAGCUAAGGUUCAUUUUAUACUCUCAUACGUUUUGUACUACUUCACGCUACAUUGUGUUGUUGCACGACAAGUGGAACUCCUAUUAAAUUUACUGCACAUAUGAUACUUGAGUUUUUUUUAACGAACAUAUGAUACUUGCUCUAACUGAUUGGCCACUUUGAUGAAGGACAGCACGAGCUGAUCUCUAGGGCAAAAGAUGCCUUCCUGCUGCCCAUGACUGUCUAUAGCGCUUGACCUAUAUGCACAGCACAUCGUGCUGCGGCUUAGCUUCUCGCUAAGCUCGAGCUUGCUACUGCUUGGUCGUGCUGUCUCUCUACGUUCGACAGAGAGCGAGCGAUAGGAUGUAGCUUUCGAUCGUCUCGUGCAUGCACGCCGGUCUAGCUCAGGCCCUGUUUAGUUCUCUCUCCAAAAUUUUUUCAUCCAUCCCAUCGAAUCUUUGGACACAUGCAUAGAACAUUAAAUGUACAUAAAAAAUAAACUAAUUACACAGUUUGGUUGAAAAUCGCGAGACGAAUCUUUUAAGCCUAGUUACUCCAUGAUUAGCCUUAAGUGCUACAGUAACCCACAUGUGCUAAUGACAGAUUAAUUAUACUUAAUAGAUUUAUCUUUCAGUUUCCUAACGAGCUAUGUAAUUUGUUUUUUUAUUAGUAUCUAAAAACCCCUCCCGACAUCCUUCCGACACAUUCGAUGUGACACCCAAAAAAUUUUCAUCUCCAAUCUAAACAGACCCUCAGGCGCCACACCACGGUAUGGGCCGCCCAAAUCAUUGCAUCCUUCUCAUCAGUAUAUAUAUCAAUCAUUCUCGACUGAAAAUAUUAAUUCAGAUAUUCUAUAUAUUAUUGAAUCCAUAUUGAAUGAAACAUUUGUCUGAAUAAUUCGGUUUACUUUGACACUAGUAAUAAAUACAUCUGCACACUCCAUAUAAUUUCCUCUGUAAACUAUUGGACCUUUCACUAGUAGAGAAAUAGGCACUAGUCUUGGUUCCCAACGCCCAUUAGUCCCGGUUUUGGAAACAGAAUUACACAAUUGGAACUAAAAGUCUCCAUUUUUUAGUCCCGGUUCCUAGAUAUGCUUAUUGGGUAAAAAAGAAGUGCAACUAGUGGAGAUUCGAACUUAAGACCUCUCACUUCAGUCUUACACGUGUUGCGAUCUCAACUCCCACCACACAUCUAAUGUAUAGACAAGAUAUGCUUUCCUUUUAAAUUCACUCUCGAGGCACCUUUAGUCUAGGUUUAAGACACAAACUCAGACUAAAGGUACCAUUAGUCUAGGUUAACCGAGAUUAAAAGUCACACCUUUAGUCUGGGCUCGUACCUCAAACCGAGACUAAAGCCUCCUGCACUAACACGUCUUGGUAAAUGUUACAACCGAGACUAAAAGGUGAAAUUAGUCCCAAUUUCUAUUACAAACUGGGACUAAAGGUCUCAUAUCACCUUCAGUCUCGAUUUGCAGUUUGAAACCAAAACUAAUUCUUUGGCCAUCGAUAGAAAGUCGUUUCUUUGCUGAUGUUUUUUUUAGUAAAUAUGUUAUAGGGGUGUAAACCCGUCUAGAUCCCCUUCAAAAAAAAUUCCUUUCUUCUUACCAAAUAAUUUGGCAGGAGUACUGCAUGCAUAUCAUUUAGGACCCGUUUGGAUGUUUUCAUUUGGGAGGAACUGAAAUGUGCUUUAUGGACUGAGCUAUUUUUGGCUUGGAAUUAGACAUUCUAAAACUUUUUAAAAUUUAGAUAUAAGUAUGUCUUAAAUUCAUGGUGCGAGAGAUAUAAAUAGAUUUAUAGAUCCUCAUCAUUCUAUAUUUCUGCUUUGUAACUUAUAACACCUUCUUCGAUUCGCUCCCCUGCAACAGAAUGCGGCACAUAAUUAUCUUCUCAUGUGGCCAACAACAGUAUACAAGUAUAUUUUGCAUGUGGUUAUAUUAGCUUCAUUGAUUUGUGCCUAAAUUGUUAUUAUUAGAAUGAAUUUCUCUUUUGAGAUUUAUUAGAAUGGAUUUCAGUUCCAAGGAUCAAUCCUGGUUCUUGCUUACAACUCCGUAAACAAAAAAAAAAUCUAAUUCUUUGAUUGAUCAAAGAAUUAGAUUUUUUUUUUGUUUACGGAGUUGUAAGCAAGAACCAGGAACAGUUUUUUUCUUCAACUCCACAAGUAGCUCCACUGAUGUAGUUGAAGUUGUUUUAGAAAAACAAAAAUUGGUAAAAACAACUUUUCAUAGUGAACAAGAGAGUUGGAGCCUUGGUGACAGCUGCUCGCUGAAUGGAUGUAUCGUCUAUUCUAGUAGCAGCAGCUUUAUGACGAUUUUUAGCUCAUCCAGCUCCCACCCUGAGCAGGUUUCAAGAAGCUCCACCUAAGGAGGUGUUUUAUUUUAACUUGUUUGGUAAAAAAAAAACAGCUUCAAACAGCUUUUACUGAACUGUUGGAGAGUUGUGCCAAAUGGAGCUUAUUAUGCCCUGUUUGGUUGCCCCAGUUUUAUUUUUAAUUUACUUCACAAUCGAGUAUUAAAUAUAUAUUAUUUACGACACUAAAAACACAACUAGAUAAUAAUUUACAGACAAAUCUUUUGAGUCUAAUUUAUCCAUAAUUGGACAUAACUGUUAAAUAAAAUAAAAAUACUAUAGCACAUGUUAAACUUUAACACCUCCAAAAUCAAACACCCUUGGAGGGAUGUCUAUACAGGACUCGGAAUAGUAGCUAGGAUCGAGAAGAAAAUUUUGCGGCGGAGGGGAAGACAAGAGCUAGGGCGUGGUUUGGUCAUACUGUAUGGUGGUUGGUACAUACAACUCUCAAUCGAGGCAGGACGACUCAGGAACGGAAUGUUUGGGCCUAACUGCUAGAUUCGCGGUUUGACCGUGGCUCCCUGUGUGGCAGCCACGCAUUUUGUGGAAGAUUUUGGCUCUCCUCUUGGCGGCCGCGCGCGGUGGUUACUGAAAGAGAAUUAUUGUCGGAAUGAAGUCGUCCGUACCUGCCUGCUGCAGCGUUGCGUUGACGGCGACGGCGGCGAGGCCAACAGCCAUGGCCGACAGGGACAGCUGCCGGCCGUAAAAGGCCACUAGUAGCUCUCGCGAUCUCGCCCGCAAAAGCGGCUGCGAUAUCCGAUUUUCCAAUGAUUCUUGGGAGGAAAGGGGAAAAGCAGGCAGGGCCGCGCGCGGCCGGGCCAGAGCAUGCAAAGCAUGAUGCUGAUGCGCCCGCCCGCGAUCAGCUGCUAGCCUUCACUUUUGUCUCGUGUGCUGUCCGUGAUCUGACGAUCGAUGAUGAUGAUGAUGAUGAUGAGAUUGAGCGUCAAGAAAAAGAUAGAUUGGUCACAAGUACAAUUGUUCCCUGGAAAGCCAAGCAAAAAGGUGAGAAUUAUUGGAGGGCGGAUGGAAGCUGCAGGGACAGAGCAUGCAUGCAUGCAUGGGUUUGUGAAUGCCUAAAAUUAAAGCAGCUACAGCUAGUAGUAGUCGUCAAGGAAGAUCUCAUAGUUAGUGGACUAGCAGUACGUUCACAUCAGAGAGGUUGGAGAGCUACUUACUAGUCGAUGCAAUACUGCCCUAAAGAUUUACAUAUAUGCACGAAUUUUGGUAAAAUCAACCUAGGCCACCUGUACUGUUUGAUACUUUAGCGGCAUCUGAUAGAGAUUAAUUAGUAUUGCCCCCACGUGACCGCUGUUACAGAGACGCGCAGAGCAAUGUACUGCGCCAAAAAAAUAAACAAAAUCAUCUCUAUAUAUGUGUGUGUGUGUGUCUGUCUAUCCAGCUCGAUUUAGAAUUGAACAAGGUAGCAACCAGCCAUGAGGAGGAUCUGACCAAUGUCCGCACGUGAGCUGAGCAAGAUAACUCUGACGCUUUUUAUCAGCAGCGCUCUUCCUUCCUUUUUAAUUGGCCGGCCGGGCUCCGAGACCUGGAGAAUCUCUGCAUUUACUAAUCGCUCCGACUGUCGCAAAAACGUGGGGAGGGGAGAUCGACGACGCAGAUGCUGCUGAUGCUGAUGCAGAUGCAGAUGCAGCACACCACACGGGAUGCUUGCUGCAAAGGUUAACCAUCCUGGGAACUCCUGCUCCCCGAUGAUCAGCGGUCUCCUUGCAAAGCAAGGACACAGUGCAAGCCUGACACGUAUAUAUGUACGGUGCGGGAUCUAUAUACUACUAUUACUCGUAUACUGUGUCAUGACCGGACCAACACGGUGCUGCGGCGUACGCUAAACUAGUAGGCUAGACUAGACAGAGUAGAAUAAUUAUUGUUAAUUAGGAGGGAGUACAAGAUUAGGCGCGCAGCGAAUCGGGGCGAUUUUGUUUAGGCGUGAAGGGUUAGUUGGGACGCGAUGCCGGGGUUUUGUUUGUAGCGUCGUCGCGGCGCGUUUGGCAUGUCCGGUGAAGAACCUUCGCCCGCGGGGGCGGGGCGCAUGCAGGCAAGCAUCAUGUCGCCCAAGGUCACGGGCGCAUCGUUUGGUUUCCGCGCGAGCGCGAGCGCGAGCGAAGAAUCCUAUGCAGCACGCGACGGCGAUGCGAUUGCGAAUGUCACGAUGCUGGGCUGCCUGUGCCGCCUGGCCUGAUGCUGAUUGCACGCCGUGCCCGCGCUCCUCUUGAUGCGUGCAUUUGGAGCCUAGCUACAGCUUUUCGGUCGCAAUCAUGUGUACGUACGCGGCUGUAGCUGUUGCCCUGCAGUGUGUCCCUGACUCCCCUUGGCGUACGUGGCACGCCGCACGCGAGCGAGCGUGCGUGCGCACGUACGUACGUACGUAGCUAGCUGAUCGGUGUUUCGGCAUGCUUCUUUUUUUUUUUUACCCCGUGGUAGAUUCGGAGAUCAGGGCGGCUAGCCCAGAGCUGUGUGGACUGUGGUGAGGUUCAGAAGUCACAAGUCACAACGUGGCACGGACUCGUACGGUUUUCGUGUUUGCAGUUGGUACGUGCUUGGUGUUGAAUCUCGUGAAUAGAGAGAGAGAGAGGGGGCCGGGUACAGCGAUUUUGCAAUCAGCAAACAGCUAGCUGCCUGCCCUUGCUGCAGCCGGUUCAUGCACAAGAUCGACAGUGGCCUGGCCUCCCCCGGCGGCCCGGCCCCAGUCGAUGGUGACGAUGACAGUAUUGGCCUCCCGGGGAGCAGAGUGAACGCCGGGUAUUGAAACAGUAUUGACUGGGCAAAAAUCUGACGUUUCCACGGAGAUUCCACGCACCGCGCAGGCACAGUUGCCGACUUGCCGUGCCAUCACAUUCACGCUCCUGUUCCGAGGUCCACCUCCACGAACGAGGAAGCAGGGAGCAGCAGCGCACGGCCACCGGCUUUGGUGGAUGCGGGGCCUUUGGUUUGGUUGCUGGCAUCGUAUCGCAUCACAUCGCAGCGACCUCCAAGCCCGUGGGCUGCGCGGCCCACUCCUGAUCGCGGGGGUUUCAAGCGCGUUCUUGGUGUCGCUAACGUCCACUUCUUGGGCCUCAACCGCCUCGCCCUCGUCCGUCCGCGCCUGUGUGUCCCCCGGACCCGGCAGCGCGGCAGCUGCGUAGGGCGUCAUGGCGCUUUUGAGUUUUCCACCGCUCGGCGUUGCUCUCCUCCGUGCCCACGACACCGGAGGAGGCACAGCGUUUGCGACGCGAAGGUUCGUUUCUUCUGUGAAGGUGGUGUAGAGUCCAGUCCAGCAAAUGGAAGCUACAAUAAAAAGGUAGAGCAAAGAGAUGUUCCAUACCCAUACUGCCAUGCGAGCUGAAACAAAGCAUCGGUGUGUUCUCAUCGGUUCAGGACGUACGUUACUGGUUGUUGGUGGCUAGAUCUUGAGCUCAAGUACCGUAGCGUGUAGUACGACAUACAAGUCAUGUCCGCUGUGCAACUAUCAGAUUCGGUCGGUUGUUCAGGUACAACAGCCGUUGCAAUGGUCCAGUCGACGACCGUGCUGUCGCUCCUUUUUGUUUUCGAUUUCACUGUUGCACGACCGUGCAGGCCCGGGAGUACCGAUGUGAUAGCACAGAGCCCAGCCCAACUGAAAAAGCAGCCAGUAAGUACCCUGCUCAAACGGGCCUUGGUACAUUGGGCACGUGAAAAGCGGGCAGUACCCUGCUUAAAGGAAAAGCAGGGUACAAUCAAGUCCAGAGUGCAGCCCAACUGAGACAAAUGCCGUGAAUGUGGAUGCGCCCGCGGCCCGCGCUUUCUGAUGUGCAGAGAGCAGCACGUCCGGGUCUGCACUGCGGAGAUUGACGAUGCAAACUGGGCACUGGCAACUGGCAGCAGGUUCACGAGCAUCCAUGCUUCUGAUGCGGGAUCGGCUUGGGGCUUCUGAAUCCAAACCCGAACUCUCUAGAGACUUGCUCAGAUGAACGUGGCUUGACGGCUAUGGAACUGACCCUCCGAGCUCCUGCCUAAGUUGCAACUGACCCCGUCCAUUCAAUAAAUGGUACUUUCAAUCAUAAUCAUAGCUUUUCAGUCAUGCGAACAAGCAAACCGAAGCCAAGCUUCGUUAUGUUCAUGAAUUUUCAGUCAAGCGAACAAGCAAACCAAAGCCAGGCUUCGUUAUGUUCAGCACGCAUUCAGCAUCCUCGCGUGCCGAGUCCACCACAGCCAGGCUUCGUUAGGUUUGAUAGCAUGGUAACAAAAGUACCCAAGAAACUAGCUGCCAUGAUCAUCGGAGAAUCAAAGCCUCACAAAAACAAUUAGGUUCGUCAUAACAUACACUAAGAUUGGCUGGUUACAACUUGCAACAAAUAGUUCACACAUCACAGUACUAAAGCUCCUCGAACUGCAGCGUCACAACAUCACGAAUACAAAACAAGCGUACAUAAAAUCCCCAGAUCACUUGAAUGAACUGGAAGUCUUAAUGCAUAAAUUCAGUGUCCGAUAGUAUCACCGAAACAGUGCGGAUACAUGGAAUACUCCAGGAUUCCUUGGUGAAUGCAGCUCAGCAGUAAAACAUGACACGCUUCACGUUUUCCUUGAGAGCGGGUAGGGGCCUGACCGCAACACUCCCGGCCCCUCUGAUGCCGCGUGCCCCACCUGGUGGAGGCCCACGGGCCCCACUGGCCAUUGACCCACUGUCAGAGGUAUCUGGCUCCAUGUAGAAGCGAGCUCGGAAGGCUGCCAGAUGAGCAUAGUAUGCCGGGGGCACUGCAAUCAAUAAAGCAAAGGUCAACAAUUUGUUUUAUGGAGUAGCACCGCAAUGGGUUGCCAGAGUAGACAAGAGACUGUGUUCUCAAGCUGGGCUUACCAAUUGACACGGAGCGAGUGCACCUAGCGUACCUGCAAAAGUGGAAACAAUGUUUAACAGGCAGUUGAAGAGGGCACGGGAAAUAAUUGAUCGAUGGAGCAGUAGAUGUAUUACGUGUAGCACAGGUUGUUUGUCAGAGUCUGCAGCUCAUCAGCUGUAAACUUGUUCUCAUCCCACAGGACAUGGUAAUGAGCAGGGCGGCUUGUUCCCUAAUGGACGUGAAAUUGCAGUCAGUAAUCAGCCUGUUUCAUCGAAGGAUGAAUUGAAAAGGGGAAUGAAAAAAACUAACCUGAAUGCCGGCAUGGCUACACAGGUAGAAAUCAAAUUCCGUAGGAUGGCAAAUCUUGGAAUCAACCACGGUGCCUAAAUUCAGAUGAAAAGAUAGUAUCUGGUCAGAUCCAAAUAACCAAAUUAGACAUGCUAAGCCCAAAAAGAUGGAGAGCACCAAGAACUAACCAGGCAGUAUGUUUCCACUUCUAUCAACUGUACGCUGGUCAUUGUGGUUAUUAGCAAACAGCCUAGUGUGAUGUCGCUUCUGGACCACGACAAAAGUAACUGGAGGCUGGUAAUUGGGCUCCAGGGAUGCACAGGCCUAUUUCCAUGGUACCGAGAGGAUAGUCAAGAAAAGAAGAAAAACAACAUCAAACGAAUGGUAUGUAAUUACAUGUACCUUUCUGAUGGCAUCAAGUUCAUACAACAAUACUUGAUAGAACUGUCCCUCACUGACACCAUCCCUGAAAUCCAGAACUGCUUAGUAUAUUGAGAAACAGAUCAGUAAAGUUGACCAAUCAAGGAUAAUAACCUGUAGAAUAUGAUCCUUUGGGGCUUCUGUCCAGUUGCCCUCUUGAAAGAAAUGAGAAGUUCCCUGCAAUAAAAAGAAUUUAAGCAUAAAGCAGAAUCCAAAGAUGGAGAACUGUGAAUAAAUCGCAUCAUCUCAAUUGGGAUCAUACUUUAUCAUGCCACCAGUUACUGUCCUUCUCUGUGGGUCUUGCCAUACUUUGAAAAGAUCCUGUAUCAGCUCCUGGCGAUGAGCUUGGGCACUCACUAGUCCAGCAUAUUUGGUGACCUCAGGCCAGUCUUGUGAAGCAACAACCUAGGAAGGAACAAUAUUGUAAGAAUUAAAAAGUGAAAUCUGUCGUUUAGACUAUGUGAACUUCUGGCCUGUUAUAAUUGCAACAAGUACUGCACUUACAGCUGCAAUGGAAGGACUGGAAUCUUCUCCAGGAUGUGGAUGGGUAACAUCAGCACCAAAUAUUAUGGUCGGCCUGUCACUGACAAGGGGGAUUCUCCUUGUCAAAGCAUCUACAAGUACAGUAUUCCUUCCCCCAACCUGAAGAGGUAGGAAAACUGUGAGAAAACUAACGAUUCAUGAGUGACUUAAGGAUGGAAGUGUGGAGAGAUUUUACCUUAACAUUUAUUUUGAGUGCAACAUUUGCAAGAUACUGCUUGCUCAUCUUAAAAACAUGUUUAGUCAGACAACACUGGGAGACCAAUCCAAGAUCAGUCUCACAGAUCCUUUUGAGAUCCCCUGAGAAAUGAAAAGAAUGAUGAUGACCAAAUGUAUUCAGCAGACAAUGUUCAAGUGUGUUUUGGAAGAGAACAUUACCAUAAAGAGAACCAUUAUUGUCAGGCAGUAUUACAAUCAGCAGAUCGAGUUCCCUGCCCUGUGGCCUCAAUACGUUCAUUGCAUCUUGAUAACGGGCCUUUAACGCCCUUUCAACAUGUUCAGGUCUUGCAGUCACUGGAGCGAGCACAGGCUCAAGAGCAAAAUCCUAAAGGGAAAGAAAACACGUAGAGUAAAUAACAAAAAUAGCCAAAGGAUAUUGCAGACAAAUGAUAAUUGAAGGGAAAAGACUUACCAUUCCUGAUAUUUGGCACAUGACUGCAAGCUCGUGACAGAAACCCCUAGCAGCACUAUCUUGCACAUUCCGAGAGAAGUUAAUACAUGCCCAGUUGCUGACUCUGCCACCAUUAACCAUUUUCUUCCAAGAAAAAGAAGGCAGCCAAAGAACAAUAGACAUGAAAGUUAUGACUCAUGAGAUUGUUAAAUUAAUCAACAAAAAGGGAGCAUGCAGACAGAAGGCAAGCUAAACUUAGAAAACAGUGCAUUUAGAUUCAGGGGUGACACCACAUUCAUCUAUUGUGGUGCACUGGCACCAUUGAUUGAAAAAAUGUGCAGUAUUAGGUGACCUGUUUAGACCUUGCUAAUGAGCUCGAAAUGGCAAUGUUACUACAAGGUGUGCACCACCAUAAAUUCUGUUCUAGCUUCACCCUUGUCUAGAUUACAGCAAUGUCAAAUCAUAAUCCAAAUGUAUUUCAUAAAAGAUGGUUCUUGAUAGAACUUUUUUUGUGGACUUAUUGGUAGAUCUUUCUGAGUACAUAAUGCAAAAUCAAUCCCUCCAAAAAAAAUUCCAUGGCAAGCUUGGUAGAUCCUAGAAUUUUGAGGUAAGGAGAUAGCAAAAAGGGAUGCCUAACAAAAAAAAGAAGAAAUUAAGUACCACGUAACAAUAAACUCAGUAAUAGUUAGGGUUAUGUAACUUGGACAAACAAACUUAUAUGCUGAGGCAGCUAAUCUCCCAGUUGCUAGGUUAACUUAUUUUUCUUUUUCUUUUUUUUUUGCAAAAUAUAGUACUUAUUUAAUUUGGAUGGUCCUCACCUAAUAUUACCAUAUAAGAAAAUUAAUUGCGUUCGAAAAAAUCACAGGAAGAGCGACUUUAUCUAGAUUUCUCAGGACACAGGCAUACCUUAUUCAUCAUGUUCCAUUGGCCAACUCUGGGCAAAACAUCCUUCUCUCGGCCACUAUCAUGGUAUUUAAGCUAAUUACAAAAUGCACAAAUUCUACGUCAGCAGCCAUGCAGCAUAUGCGCAAAUACGGAAAAAAAAUGCCAAGAUGUUGUUAGAGGUCAUGUUUGUUCGCUUACCCUUGGUGGUGGCAGAACACGAGCUUCAACUGCUGCAAGACGUUCAUCAAUUCUUAUGCCAAAUUCCUGUGCAUAUGGGUCUUCAUAGUAUGCAUUGUGAUGCACAGUCUGAUAAAAGGCAAAAUAAGGAACUGAGUCAGAAUCAUAAAUUCAGCUGACUGACUUUGGUAAAUACAAAACAAAUAAAACCUCUGUACCAUAUUAUGUUUAAACAUUACACAGUAUUCUGAAAAAAACAGAUGGCGCUAUUUAUCAGCUGUUGAAUAAUUUGCUGCUGGUCUUGCACAGGAGUCAAGACUGUAGCUUGGUGACUAGAAAUCUGAAAUUGCAGAGCAACUUUGAAAGACAGUUCAAGCUGUAGUGGGAACACUUGACUAGGAGUAGUGAGGACACAGAUUUUUGGUAGGCCAUUGUGUCCUUAGCCUAGGAUAGUAGACUUUGACUGCAGUACACCAGCGCACCUUCACUAGUUUCAGUUCAUACACAAACUGAACCUACAGCUUUGUGUAUAUAAGUGCAGCCCUAGUAAUGUAUUUUUCAGUUCAGUUGAACCUUGGCCAACGCUAGAGUUUCUGCAGUGUAUGUGUGUGUGUGCUGUUCUCACCCCUUCUUCUACCUCUAGCCAUAGUGAGAGUGUGUGUGUGUGCGUGCGCGCGCAGGCGUGCACGUGCUGGUAAGCUUGCUGCUUUACCUGUGCAGGAAUCCUAGGCACCAACAAGUGGUAUCGGAGCCGUACAACUGCAUCGCCGGACUAACCGCCGGCGAUGGCACCUAGCUCGGAGACGGCUGACAGCAGCAGUGCUGCUGGGGCUGCCCAGACACGACAGAAGGUCGUUGUGCGCACCGUGCGGGAGGUCAGCGGCACAAGUUGGUCGAUGCUGACUCACACCAACUAUGGCGAGUGGGCGGUGACCAUGAAGGUAAAGCUCAGAGCCCGACGGCUCUAGAAUGCCAUCGACAAAGGCACCGACAAUGAAGAAGACGACAUGUCAGCGAUGGAGGCUAUCCUCGCUGCUGUGCUGACAGAGUACAGCGUUGGGGGCGAAGAAGACUGCUAAGGAGGCGUGGGAGGCCAUUGCUGCGAUGUGCGUCAGCUCUGAUCACGCAAAGAAGGCGACGUUCCAGCUGCUGAAGUAGGAGUCUGAAGUACAUCCGAAUUGCUCUCUCCAUAGAGACAAUGUUGGACCUGUCCACCCUCACUAUUGAGGAUGUGACCGGCUGUCUGCGGGCGGUGGACGAGCGCAUGGAACUGGUCACAGCAACGACGGACAGCGGCAAGCUGCUGUUUACAAAGGAGGAGUGGGCUGCCCGGAUGAAGGAGAAGAAGUCCGGGGAAGCCUCCAGCUGCGGUGGCGAUGGCAAGCAUGGCAAGGCUUCUUCAGAGAAGAAGAAGAUUGACCCCAACGCCUAUAGGCGCUGCGGGAAGACAGGCCAUUGGGCAAAGGAGUUCCCAAAUCGCAAGCAGGAGAAGGCGGAAGCUCACCCGCCAGCCCUAAUGGUGGACAAUCAGCCCGCCAUCGCCCUUGCAAAGAAUCCAGUCCUCCACGACCGCAGCAAGCACAUCGACACUCGUUUUCACUUCGUCCGUGAUUGUGUUGAAACCGUACGACAGCUCGCAGACAUCCUCACAAGCCACUCGGCCAUCUUCGGUUCAUGGAGCGGAGGACCAAGAUUGGAAUGGUGGAAAUCAGGCAAGAGCAGCAAGUUUAGGGGAAGAAUUGUUGAAUAAUUUGCAAGAGCAGCAAGAUUAGGGCAAGAUUAGGAGUCAAGACUGUAGCUUUGUGACUAGAAAUCAGAAACUGCAGAUCAACUUGACUAGGAGUAGUGAGGACACAGAUUUUUGGUAGGCCAUUGUGUCCUUAGCUAAUAAGUAUUGCAGGCUUAUCCUGCAUCUAGGAUAGUAGACUUUGACUGCAGUACAACAGCCCACCUUCACUAGUUUCAGUUCAUACACAAACUGAACCUAAACCUUUGUGUAUAUAAGUGCAGCCCUAGUAAUGUAUUUUUCAGUUCAGUUGCCACAACCACAAGGGCAGAACCUUGGCCAACGCUAGAGUUUUUGCAGUGUAUGUGUGUGUGCUGUUCUCACCCCUUCUUCUACCUCUAGGCAUAGUGAGUGAGUAGGGACCAACAUCAGCACAGUACAAUUUACACAAACAUUUUAAUAAUCAAACAACUGUUGCAGAUACCCUGUUACCAAUCCCAGAGAGCCAGAGAUCAUUUUAGAUGCACAGGCAAAUAUAUAAUCAUGUUAAUUGUUAACAAAAGACAAGAGGGCACCCUAAACCCUGAAGAAUGCACAGGCAAAUGUGUAAACAGGGCUUCCAAAGCUAAAAGGCUUGAAAACUGCUAACCACAGGCUAUAAACUAAACAUGGUUAAACAUUUGAAUUCAUAAGAUGUAUACACUGAUGAAAUAACUUAUACAAAAACAUACGAUAAACAGCCACCUGUAAGAUGUCCAGCUCACGCUCUUGAGGGCGCUGGCAGGUCACUUUCAGUAGAGCAGUGAUUUGCUUCUCAUUGAGUCGCUUUGAGUAGCGCUGUCCUUCAACUAUUUUGCAAACCUGAAAUUUCACAUUUCAAAGCCAUAAGCAUAAUACUGAAGCUGGAUGUAGCAUUCAGAGACCAUUCAAAUAGAUAAGCACAAUAUAAGAAAUCCAAGUUCAGCGGAUACAGUCGAAGACACAAACCUCCAUUGGAAGAUAAUUUGGUCUUUGUUGAUUGCCCACUUGCAAGCACGGUAAAGUGGUGUGCUGGAUACUAAAACCAUAAGUCUCCAUGAAGUAUUGCACCACAGUCUUCACAGUACCGCGAUCAUCAACAGGGAAUCUAUCCCAAAGAAACCAAAAAAUCAUGUCACUGCACUAUUCUUUAAGCUAUUAGCUCAUACCAGCAAUGGAAGACACAUACGAUAGCUCUCUUGUUGCUUGUGAGGUUAGGCCAGAAAUGCGAUAUUUUCUGCGCAUGUUUCCCCUGUGAGUGACCUCGACCUUCACACCUCUUAGGGCUUUUUUGAUCUACAGAGGAACAAACAACAGUAACUCAACACGAACUAGCAUAAACCAAAGUUGCUAUCAAAUAGGUAAGGUAAUGAUAAUGAUUCGAACCUUCACACGAUCAGAAUCAGACAAUGGUCUAACUGAGAUAUCUCUGUUAAGAAGCUGAGCAACAAAAUCGAUCACAGGGAGAGGCUCGAUAAAUGCGGUAGAGGACAUAUCUGCAAGAGCACAAAUCAAAGGCUAAGAAAAGACCAGUACUGAUUUCAUAAACUACACUGGGAGUCCAUAGAAUUAGAAUUUAGUUACAAUACGCCAUGGAUCAUGUGUGGCAACUGAAAGAUAAACAAUGAAACAAAAAGGUUAAAGUGACAGUAUCUAACCAAUAUUCAGUGAAAGGCCCAUCUGUGUCGGCCUUAUGCUUUGGUAAAAGCCACGCCAACUUUCCAGACCCUCACCAAGUUGCUGGCGUCUCCCUAAGUUGGGAGAAUAAAAUGACCUACCAACAGGAGAAUACCUGAACAAGAAAAAUGUAAGGCAAUGAAGACUCUGACUUUUGUGGCAUGGAAAAAGCAACUAAUAAAUAUACAAUCACCUCGCAGUAGGCAAUUCACGUAGUACAAUGUCAAGCACUUGAAGAGCUUCUUGAGGAGCAUCCGCUUGCCUUCCAGCUAGAAACAUAGCCAGAUGGUGGAGAUCAGCACGGGCCGCAAAUUUGAUCACCACCCUAAAUACUCUCUCGCGCCUUGAACAGGAAGGAUUACAGCAGUCAGCAUGAAAUGUUGCAUAUAUGUUCUAAAUACAGACACAGCAUAAUGACAUACCUUUGUCCACCUUGGCCACCACCAAGACUAUCUUCCUCAUCUUGCAACGUAAUUUCAAAUGUCAUAGAAGUAAAUGGCAAUGGUCCAGCGGUAUAAAGGCUCUUUCUUCCAUCAUACGCAGGUAGACGCCCACCCAAAUGGGAAAUUCUAUAUAGUCUUACAAGCUCUCCCAUGACAGCACGAUUAACACCACGUGAAGUAACCUCAGGUGUUAUAGAUACCUGAUGGCAAACGAUUGGUGAACAGAAAUAACAACAUAAGAAAAAACUGACAUGAAAUUAUUCCCUACGAGGAGCUUACAUCAUAUUGGUGAAGGUCUUUGUCAGGAAGCUCAGCAAAGAAAUGAUUUGCCUUCACAAUGCACCUGUCCCCAUAAGUGCCCUUGCCAGGGCGCAAUGGGAAUCGAACCGAUUUGCUUGAUGCUGGUGCCACUUGAAUUUCUUGGCUCGUGGAAGACUGACCACGAAUGGCAAGUUGCUGAAACUGUUGCUGGACUUGUCCAGAGCUCACCUCUGCCACAGGCUGUGAGGAUGAGCCAGGUCCCGAUGGGGAUUGUGAAACCACCGGGGCUUGAUACUGGACAUAAGGGGCUUGGUGCAGCUCGGGAACUGUUCUAGAAGGACCUGGAGGAACAUUUCGUCCAACAUUACCUCCCCUAUGCCCACCAUAGUAUGGCUGUGGCAUUCCACCUCUGGAGCGGGCGCCACCACGUCCCUGGUACUCACCACCUCGUCCCUGAUAUUCACCGCCACGUCCCUGGUAUUCACGCGGGUGAUACUCAGGGGGCCCACCACCAGGGUGAUGUGACCCAGGUCCUCCGCGGCCCUGAUAAUGUCCACCACGACCCUGGUGUUGCCCGCCACCACGACCACCCUGUUGAGGCACCCAGCCACGUCCUCCCCCAGGUUGUUGAGUUCGCUCAGGCCGCUGUGAAGAACCUUGUCCAGAACCUCCUGAAGACUCUCCAGAAGUUUCUCCAGAGCCACCAGGGCCAGUUCUCUUCUUCCUCACCAUGAUGGGCACUGGCAUGAUAGGAAUACAUCAAGAGUGAGAUUGUAAAAAUACCAUGGAAAAAAUAGCCCGCUAUUUUUGCCGCUAUAGCCCGAAAUAGCUUGAAAAAAAUUAUGUCGCUAUUUGUAUUCAUGUACAAUUUUGCCACUAUUUUACCGCUAAAGUACGCUAAUUACGGUAUAUAAAACGCUAAACACCUUGGCCUUAGCUCGCUAUUUAAAACAUGGUAAAAAUAUAAUAAUUUAUCAAAACUUAACAUGAAGAAAACUGUUUAACUGCGUAUUUGUUAAAAAAUAGAGACAGAAGGUUGUAUAAUGAGAACUGAAACAGCUUAGAGAGUAAAGAAACUGUAAAUGAACUCAAAUAGAAGAUCAGCUUCAUCAAGGAAUUGCUAAAAUAAUAAAUAGAAAAUUUCUGAAUUACAGCUUGACAGCAUGAUGGAAACUAUUCCCGUGAGAAAAUAGACCAAGUACCAGAAGGCAGUGAACAAGAAAAACCAUGUAGGCAUAGAAGAAAGGGAAUGCCAUCUCACAAGUAUUAGGAAACAAGACUUAUUAUGUUUUUAUUGAAUUUAACAUUCCUUCAUUUUGAUUAUUAUUUCACCGCUUGUGGUUGGCUGCAAACUUCUAUUUAAACCAAAAGAGGCCAAGUAGAAGGUGAGGAAAAUGUGAGAAAGAACAUAUCAAAAAAGAAGCGCUCCAUCCAUACUCCAUAGGUGUCCUCUAGAUAUCAACUAUUUUAUUCGUUUAAUAACAAUAUCCUAAAAUAAAUAUACAGACAACAAGUAAACAAAAUCAACCAGUCACCCUUUCUAUAAUAGUAAAAAAGAAUUAUCCUAGCAUUUUCAUUCAAAAGGAUGCCAGAAGAAAUGUAUGAAUGAGAAACAUGUAGCACUGAAGUUGCUAAAAGAUACCCAUUUCAUCUAUACAAACAAAAUGAUCAGUAUCCUACUGCUAAAGGCCUGUCUUAUGUGGCCUUCUGAAAGCUUGUUUUAGCAGGGACCUUUUCUAGUCUCCACUGUUCAAUACAAUCCCAAUGCCUUGAGAUAACAUCAAACACUUCGGUAACCAUUGAAGGAACAUGAUUUUUUUUUCACAAUGCCGUGCUGCAUCCUUGAGUGUAGGAAACUCUAUGCUAGAACUUGUAAUCAAGUCCGAGAGCAAACGAUAAGUGAGAACAACAAACAUUAGGCAUAAAAAUAUGCCUAGAACACAUCCGCAAUCAUAGCCAAGGCUGCGGUUAGAAUCAUCACAAUGUGAUGCACUAAAAAGAACCCUCGUUUGUUAGCCAGAUACAAAGACAACAACAAAAAAAUAUAUCACCCUAAACCCAAUAACCAGAGAUGGAUACCAAGGCACAGGAGUGAAAAUACACAUAAACGGAGUGAACCUUACCCUAACGUAGAGGCAAAUAACCAUACAAGCAUGUAGCCAGUAGGGGAGGUACUGCUAUAUCAGUAAUUUCUAGAUAUAUGCUGAGGUUUUAACGAAGUAAUCAGUUCACCCGCAUAUGAGCACUGGACACCUGAAAGAACAGAUGUUCCUUUAUCUCAGAAAGCAAUUACCCCCCCCCCCCCCCCCCGGUUUCCACACUAAGCGCUUAGCUUAGAUGGACAAGCUAAAAUGAUCACAAAAACAGCCGCAAAUCGUCAAGCUCUCGUUGGAUCAGCUCACAACCAGGUAGAACCGGACAAAUAACCCGACAGACCCCACAAAAUCCACGAGCGCCCCCUCGAGCUCGUUCAUUUCAAGCACCAACACCGCCGCAACAAAGCAACCCAACCCCGGAAACGAUCGAACGCUGAAGCUACACCCCGCGCACUGAGGAAGCAGGCGAAAAGCAGCAGAUCUAGCGGAUUACGGGAGGGAGCGAUACCUGAGCAGGCUCGGCAGACGGCUGCUGCGCGGGAUGGCAACGGAGCGGGAGUGCUAAGCUCCCGCCUCCACUAAUGGCGCUCUCUACUGCCUCAGCGAAGCUGCUGUGCUGGGUGCUCCACUACUUGCCCACGACCACCACCACCACCACCACCUCCACCUCUCCGCCUUUUUUUGAGGAGGGGGAGGGGGAAGGCGACGGCCGCUUGUGGUUAAUUAGCGGCAGCGGCAGUGCGGGUGCGGCUCACUGGAGAAAGCGCCGAAGCGAGGGCAGCGGCUGCGGCAGCCGGCAGGGCUGGGUGCCCGUGUCAGGGUCACGGUCAGGUCGCGGGGCGGGUCGCGUCGCCGUGGACACGGGGACCCGUUCGGAGUGGGAUUAGUACUAGUACUGGAGAACGUGGGACGGACGCCACUGACGGCGUGGGGCCGAGGCGGCCAAGGACACCUCGGGCGCGACGCCACCGAUGGGAUUAGUGGGGCUAAUCAAGCGUUUUAGGCGCAAAAGACAGGAGAGGACGGGUGUCAGGAGUGGAUUAUCGUGCCCUCCUCGCCAUGUUAUCGCCCAGGGCCCAAAGACGUUUCGGUUGCUGAUUGGAUCGCCUCGCUCUCGUGUCCCGUCCGCAGAACUACGCGAUCAUACCGAAGCAUGAGACCGAGAGUGAAAUACUACGUAGUACCGGCCACCGAUGCACAGGCGUCAGAGCGUACGGCAUGAACCAAAGUAACAAACGAUCACGGAUCCAUCAAUGACCGUGAGUUGCCAACGGCGAACGCAGCUGUGCUUUGUAACGUGGGCACGGUGGUGGUUCGGCGGUGGCGGGUCGCUGUCAAUGCAGUCCCGUUUCGGCUAAGCCGUCCAGACCCGUAAGAGGCAAGAGGACGAGUCAAACGGGCGGGCGCCUCUCGAUGCUCGCAACAGCCAUGAGGUCAUCCGCAAUGGUUAUGCUAAGAGGAAUUCUAUUGGCUCUCAAUAGCACUUUACGAAUAGCUAGCGAGAUGAUAUAUAAAAAUAAUAAAAAAGUAGUACUCUUAUUGGCUAUCGAGAAGAGAGAUCAAAUAGCUAACGACUUCCUAAUAGCUAGCGACACAUAAAUAGCUAAUCUAGCAUAAUCUUCUAGAAAUAACUCUCUCACAAUACUCUCCACAAUAGUUAGUGACUUCCUAAUAGCUAGCGACUUCUUAAGCUAGCUAUUUCCAAAUUGCCAUUGAGAACCAAUAAUAUUCUUUCUAGAGACUAAAUAGCUAGUGAUUUGAACACCAUUGCAGACGUCCUUAGCCUGCAGUAGUAGUAGCAUUUGCUAUUGCUAUUGCUAUCGCACCCAACGUGCAACGAGCACAGCUGCACAGGCCUACUGCUGCUACUACGGCCACCCUACCGGAUCAAUGGCUGAGAUCGGUUCCGCAUACGGGGCGCACGAGCCAGUGCGUGGGCCACCGCUAGACUGUUCAAAAUCGCUGGCCCACCGGCUACCGUCCGGCCCCCAGGCGAUGACACGACGACCCCACUGGCCGCGCGGGCCCAGCGCGCAGCGAGUCGGGUGCCAGUACAGCGCGUCGCGCAAGUUGCCCGCUGGAUCGAGUAGGAGGAGUACUUGGAUAGGACGCAGUGGGCCCCGGCCGCGAUGGCGGGUCGUACUGGACGCGCGACCAGCCGUUGCUCUGCUGGGCCCGCGACCCGAUGACGGGGACGGUCAUGGAGCCCGCGGUACGGGCAAGGGGCCCUUUCGCUUUCGCGUCCAGGCUGCCCAGUGGGCUGCCUCGGGCCUCACGACCAGAAUGACACAACCGGCCGCGGGCCUUCUCCAAAGCCUGCACGGGACGGCGAGACGGAGACACAGGCACACAGACACAGCACAGCAGCGGCGCUCUAGCCUCUACUUCUACUCCUACUAGGCCUUGUUUAGUUCCCAAAAAAUUUUGCAAAAUUUUUCAGAUUUUCCGUCACAUCGAAUCUUUAGAUACAUGCAUGGAAUAUUAAAUAUAGACGAAAAUAAAAACUAAUUGCAUAGUUUGGUCGGAAUUGAUGAGAUGAAUCUUUUGAACCUAGUUAGUACAUAAUUGAACAAUAUUUAUCACAAACAAACGAAAGUGCUACAGUACCUGUUUUGUAAAAAAAUUUGGAACUAAACAAGGCCUAGGUGGCGCUCGCAGACGCAGGGUUGCAGGAAUCGACGAGCCGUAUAGUGGCGCCAGUGUUGCUAUCUAGGUACUGCGUAGGAUACAGCGAGUAUCACGUCGAUCGUACUAGGGCACAGUCCCUGGUUUUGUUGGAAGGGGACGAGACAGUUCUUCCUCGUCUCCGUGCUUCAGAGUUCACAUCAAGGGGGGAAGCGGGGCGCACAGUGAAAAGAUUUGCUGGGAUGCAAAAAAAGUAGUGUGGAUCGGUCCUAUAACUGUUAACGUGACUGCGUUUCGAUGUCACCACGAUGUUUGUUGCAAAGCGAUGAAUUCGGUGUUGACGAUGUGUCUAAGAACGACGAACAUCACUACUAGCUGUCACUGACUCACUGCAUUAGCACGUUGCCUUUGCCAUUCACGAGCAAAUAUUGGCAAGUCAUGAAAUAAGACAGUUUGGGUGUCUCUCGAAGCCACUGUUUCUAAAUAAUGAUGACUCCUCUCAUCUUUCACGGAAAGGAGAGGCUAGCCAAUGGAAACAAAGAAAAUGAAGCUUUUUGUCGGGACUUUUAAAUCUAAUAUGUCAAUGUUUUCUCACCUUUUAUACGAGAAAGAAAGGUUACGCGGUGAGAAAAGAAAAUGAAGCUUUAUUCAAAAGAAACAAGCAAGCAUCUUUCCUGCUGCCAUUGUCACAUAUAGCCUUUUCAGAGACUAGCCUCGCUGAUUUUCGUCACGACUUUAGAAUAUUUUAUUAAAGAGUUUUUUUUCAUUUUUAUUGAAUCUUUUGCCUCGUAAACUUCUAUAGUUUUCCUUGAUAAAGUAGGAAGUGCAUGCGCAACACUGGUAGGAGAAAAAAAAAUCAAACAAGGGUGCUGCUACAAUCGUGUGAAAUUGUGUUCAAUGAUAGUGAACGCCCACCCAUAUGCCACUAUGCCAGUGUGUCUCGGUGGAGUUGACGAUUCGAAAAUCGAAUCAAAUUGUCCCAUAUAUCUACAAGGUGAAAUAUUGUUUACUAAAUGGACACCAAUAGCGGACUCAAUGCUCGAAUGGACCCCGAGUAAUAAGGAUCAAGACGCCAAUGACAUUUUGUGUCUUUAACCUUCCAACAAGACGUAAAAGCAAUAAAUUUUUCAAAGUGCAUCGGCGCCAAAGCCCGGAUGAACGCCUAAGUUACCAGGCCCUAAGUCCACCACUGGUGGACAUCGAGGUUCAGUGGAGUUAGAGAAUUUUACGUGGAAAGUGUCCCUUAUGGUUCAAAAAUUAUAUGAAAUUUCCCCUUGUUUGGCGGAAGCAGCAAAGGCGUAUGCUUCAUCACCAAUUCAGGCCGGUCUUUGAUUGUCUUCUGUUGUUGCUUUGUUGGUGUGUCUCGAAGUAGAGGAACAAGCGCACUUUCGAUAACAAGGCUUCUUCGAUCGCCAUGGUGGUUAGGGAUGCUGCACUAGAGGAUGGGUUCAGGCAGGGUUCUCCUGCGUCUCGGCGUUUGCUACACUUUGGUCGCAAAAUCUGGCUGAUUUGUAAUAAACUCAAUUAUGUUCUAGUAGAUAGAUCUGUUACUUUGUUCUUGGCUCCUGCCAAUGGUCUCUCGCCACUGGCCAGGCCUCCCCUUGUACUUGUUCAAUUUUCCACUGCCUCUUAAUGAAACACAGACCGAUUGGUCUCGUUCGCGAAAAAAAAUUCCCUUGUGUAAUGGUCAAAAGGAAAUUAUAAUGAGGACGAUUAUGACUUCGUUUGGAUCUAUUCUAGCUAACUAUUAGCUCAGAAAAAGACCAUCUAACAACUUUUAGUUUGAUAAUGGAUAAGACACUAGCUAAUCUAUUAGAUAUAGAUUUAAAUGGGGUCUCAAAUACUUUUAGCAGCUAACUAUUACUAUUGGAUACAAACACCCUUUAGUUUUUUUUCAGCACCAAUCCAUCCCGAUCCAUAUGAGUUAAGAGGGAUUAAGGUAAAAUAAUCAAAUAAAUUUAACAUUGAUUUAAUUUGGAAUGGAUGAAUUGACAACAUUUUUAAGGAAGAAGAGAUGAAAUGGCCCCAAUACAAUGGCUUAUAUUACCGUGCACUUGCAAUAGUUGUUUCUCCUAUGGUGUGCUUGAUUCUUGGAUAUGGCUACUGGCUGAUACAGAAAUAAAAUUGUUGUAAUCACAACCUUGUAUUAUUUUUUAUCUCAUGCAUCAUAUCUUCACGAAUGCAACCAAACGACAUAUUUUAUUCGCCAAGCUAAUAAGAUACAAUCGACCAAAAAAGUAAACCAUUGCAUUUGUCGAGCCUGAUCCAAUGAAAACUAGCUCAACUGAUGCAAGCCAAACUAGAUCAUAUAAUCAGCUAACUAUAUAUCCUUACAGCCUGAUGGCGAACCAGUUGUAAGGCUGUCUCCAAUAGGAGACCUAUUUGGGAUCAGAAGAGACAUAACCCAAAUUUGGGUAUCCUCUCUCCUUGAGACCUAUUUGCAGAGAGUGUUGUCUUUUAGGUCUUGUUGUUGGAGAAGACUAAAAAUAGGUAUGUAACUUUUUACCUAUAGCGCUACCCAAAGGACAAAUGGGUAUUGUAUUUUGGGUAACGAUUGUUGGAGAUAGUCUAACUGUGUCACUCUCAACCAAACACAUUACUAUAAGCCGUAAGGGCCUGUAUGGUUACAGAGGGUAAAAUUUACCGCCCGUUGCACAUGUAUGAAAAACUAAAUAUAAACUAUUUACGAAACUAAAAACAUAGAUAAAAAGUAAUUUACAAGAUGAAUCUUUAAACAUAAUUAGUUCAUGAUUAAACAUUAAUUACUAAAUAAAAUAGAAAUGCUACAGCCAACCAAACACCCCCGGACGCAGUCACAACACUCGACUGGUAGAGUAUGUUGGACGUAUUUUUUUUUCUUCAAAAAAUGCGUAAUGCAAGCAGGAUAGAUCUUCAUCAGAUGCUACAAUGUCGUUUUCUUUUCUUCCUCCGUGUUGUUUUCAAUAUAAGGCCUUGUUUAGAUAUGAAAAUUUUUUGAAUUUCACUACUGUAGCACUUUCGUUUGUUUGCGAUAAAUAUUGUUCUAUCAAAGACUAACUAGGGUCAAAAGAUUCGUCUCGCGAUUUACAAUCAAACUGUAUGAUUAGUUUUUAUUUUCAUUUAUAUUUAAUGCUUCAUGCAUGUGGUAUAAAAUUCGAUGUGAUGGAAAAAUUUUGAAAACUUUUUGAUUUUGGAUGAACAAAACAAGGCCUAAAAAAAAUAAACAAGCCGUUUGCAAGAACUGAACUGUUGCUCCACUAGCGAUGAGGAUACCGUUCCGAGGCGAGAAAAGAUGUCCUUUGCUGACACGUCACACGACGGUGCAAAGCGGACCGGGCGCGCGACGUGACAGUUCGCUUGAGCCCAUGGCGAUGGUACGGCCUUGUUUAGUUCACCCGAAAUCCAAAAAGUUUUCAAGAUUCCCAAUCACAUCGAAUCUUGAGACACAUGUAUAAAGCAUUAAAUAUAGACAAAAAUAAAAACUAAUCGCACAGUUUGACUGUAAAUCACGAAAUAAAUCUUUUGAUCCUAAUUAGUAUAUGAUUGGACAAUAUUUACGGACGGCGGACCCGUGGACCCGCGGGCGGGACCCAGGGCAGUCGUCGCCGACGUGUCAGCCGGCACGGCGCAUGGGCCCCACCUCUAUCGCGUGUCAGGCCUCUCCGAGCUCGAAACGUGUCCCACAGGGGCAGGUGACCCCACCUGCACGACGGCGUACUACGGGCGCACGCACCUCUGGUGGUGGACUUGCUGUACUGCUGUGGGUGUACAGUGUAUAGUACGUACUACUGCUGUACGUACUGCACCCCCGGCCCAUAAUGCCGUGGGCCCGCCGCGUCAUCCGCGCGUGGUUUUGGUUGCUACUGUGCGGCACUGCCGCAUCGCUGGCACAGCGUGACGCACCACGCACGGAGCCGAACCGAGCCGAAUCCCCCCACCCGCGAUGCCACGCACGGCCUUGCCGCGGUUGCCGCCAUGGAUGAUGGGCCCGCCCGCCGCGGUGGCGGCCCGAAGGCCGAAAGAUCCACCAGGGUAUCCAACGGCUCUUGCAUAGCGCUAAUGGGCACGUUACUGUUCCGUGCGACGCAAGUGCCAAAUUGGCAAAUGGCUGUCUAUUUUUUUCUAUUGUCGGCAGGCUCUUGGAGGUGUCGUUCUGGUUUGGUUACUGUUUCGGCUUGUGCGUUUGUGAGUUUGUGUGCGUUUUGGAUGUUGCUGUUGUGCCUGUUGUCCUUUUGCGAAAAUAAAAAUCUACUUAUAAACUGAUGUAGUCGUUUUGUGAAUUAAAAUGCUGUAGAGACUGGCUGAGAAACCAAGACUCGUUCCAUGAAUCACCCUCGACGAUGAUGUGCUAACACAAAAAAAAAUCCAAUAGAUUAAUACUAGUUAUCAGCUAAAAAUAGUAGGCGAGGAUCAAACAGGCUACAGGCCUGCUUAUAGAUUUAUUAAAUCCGCUAAGCAAAUGGAGGUGAGGAGGUUCUGGUGGUUCAUGUAGAUCUUCAACUAAUCCAACAAUCUAUUAAACGUCCACAUGGAUUAGUAGAAUGAAUCAAGGUUUUCCUGAGACGAGAUGGGUAUGCAUAUGCAGAUAUGUUUCAUGCGGUUACGGGGCGCGGACCAGUCAGUAUGGAGCCGGGGGCAUCAUGCAUGCAUGGAGAGCGCCGACCGUGAACAGCUGUGGCAUGCAUGGGCGUCCAGGCAGCCCAGCAGUGUGAAAAAAAAAAAGACGAUCCAUCAAUGUCUUGUACAUGUGCUGUGCUAACAAUGGCAUUCGUUCCUCCGAGGUAGCUGGUGCCGAGCUCUCACAUUCAGCUCGGCUGGCUCCACAGCUGUUUACAUGCUGCUGCUCUGGCUUGUUUCUCUCGGUCAAGCUACGCUAGGCAGGUGGCUGAACAUGUCACUGCAUUAGAAUCACCGCAACGGCGCAACCCACACGUUGUAUAUCCCUUCUCAUCACUAACCGCAGGCUUUAUUAGCUUAGUUCACUGAUGAGUGAUGACGGACGACGACGACGACGACGCGACCCAAAGAACGAACGAUCCGGUCGACGAACUGUUCCUCGAGGGCCCGAGCGCAUGCAGUCGCUGUAGUCUGUAGGCAGGCAACAGUGUAAUGUGAAGCCCAGUCGGCCGGCACGGCAUGGCAUGGGCGUGCGCGACCAUGCCAACAGGAACAGCGGCCUCGACAGGUCGCCGAGACGACAACAGCAAAGGGACCGACGUGAUGCACGCACGAGCGCGAUUCCUCCAUGCCGGAUGCCGGUUGCCGGAAGCCCGCGGUCAAAAGGAGGCCCCGCCCGUGCCGACCCGGCGCUCUCUGCUAGCGCGUAGCGGCGCACAAUCAUGCACGCGAACUGUGCGGUGAUCUGACGGGACGACGACACGGCCGGCCGGGGCAUGCAGAUGCACAAGCACAGCAGAAGCAGCAGCAGCAGCAGAAGCGAGGAAAAGGCAAAAAACCGGAAGCGGGCAGGGCAAAAGGGGACGGUCGCCGAAGCGAGACGAGGAAGGAGGGCACGGACACGGGCGUACCUUGAUGGGGGCGCCCGUUGUUCUCCACCCGCAUCGCCAUGUCAAGGUCACACAUCGUCCUCGUCCACGACGCCGCGCGCCAAAGCUGGAACUGAAAGCAGGAGGCCGGGCACGAGCCGGCAGCCGGAUCGCGGCCACUUCUGUGUCCGUCCCCUCGUCUGUCUGCCGACCGAUCGAGAGGUGGAAGAAGAGCUAGGUCCUCGUCUGACUGCUGCUGCCUGGGGCUGGGGGCGUGGAUCACGAGCCAAGAGAUGCCGGGCGCCGGGGUCUUAUUGUUAUUGGUGGCUGGCAGGCUGGGCGAAGCUAGCGAUGGCUGGCUGGCGCUGCUAGGGGGAGGGGGAGGAGGAGGAGGUCCGUGGUGGGUGGGGCUCCCUCGGGCUCGUCUGCACUACUGCAUCCCUGGCCUCGUCGUCGUAAGCAAAAGAUAUCGGUGAUGUAAGCUUCAAGAUAUGCCCAAUUAUUGCCGCUGGCGCACGGAGAAAAAAUAUUGCGCCGGUGCAGGUGGUAUGCGACUUCCAUUUUUGCGAGUUGCGGCUACUGCUCGCUCGUUGGUAAUGGACUAAUGGUGUGGAUGAGCCAUUAGCCAUUAGCUGAUCGAUGUGCGAGCUUUAGCUUCCGUUAGGUUUAGGUGGAGGGCCCCCCGCGUUCCCUGCAGCAAAUGCGGCUGCCACUAUAUACAUCGAUCAUAUUCGCCAUUAAAAAUACCACAACAUGGUUGGUCAAGAGGAAUCCUUUGCUAAAUAAGGUGGUCCGCUGAUCCUAGUUACCAACUAUGGUGCGUCGAAAUGACCCAACAUAUGGUACACAUUUGUUUAGCAAGAUUUGCGCUUUGUAGUGUAGUCCCCCAGGCUCUCAGAUAGCGAAAUAAACAAGACAGCACUAACAAAAGUUUAUAUAAUUUCCGUCUAGUCACCUGAUCAGAUCAUUGGUUGGCCAAGUUGAGAUCUAGUCAGACAUUUGAGUAAUCCGACGCGCAUCGGCAGUAGUUAUCUGAAGUGAUGUGUAUGCAGUCGUUGGGCUAAGGCCUUGUUUAGUUCACCCCAAAAAGCAAAAAGUUUUCAAGAUUCCCCGUCACAUCGAAUCUUGUGGCACAUGCAUGAAGCAUUAAAUAUAGACGAAAUCAAAAACUAAUUACACAGUUUAGCUGGAAAUCGCGAGACGAAUCUUUUGAUUCUAGUUAGUCCAUAAUUGGAUAAUAUUUGUCACAAACAAACGAAAGUGCUACAGUACCGAAAUCCAAAAUCUUUUCGGAACUAAACAAGGCCUAAAAUAAAUUUGUGCCGCACGAAGAGUUGCAGCUGAUGACCUGUUGGAAAGGGACUGAUAUGGUUUCAUAUGGUCUGGAAGCUCAUCCGCUUUGUCGCCACACCAUCGAUUGCUCGGUAUUGCCUGGCAUUCCAAUGAAGAACAUUGUAUAUAUGGCUGGCCUGGUGGUUGAGUUCUUUUUUUCUUAUUGAAAGACAGCUUACUUGGCACCUCCUUAAAAGACAAGGUUGUGUGUGCAUCACCUCCUUAGCAAUUUCAGGAAGAUAUAUAGUUUUUAAAUAAAAGUCGUUGUUGCCUUUUUUUUGUGAAUCACAAUAUUUCCAGGUAUUUAUUUAUUGGCUCAUUUGUCCGAAUAGGAUAUGCGAGGGAAUAUACCCACCGUUGUGAAAACUUUGUUUUUGUAGUAAAAUGACAAUAUCUCGAGGGGUUUAGGUCUGAUUGUCCCCCACAAUAAAAGUUUGAGAAAAUACGAAAUAGUAGAAAGGGACACACACACAAAAAGAUACGAGGCCUCAAAAGCCCACGACGAGAACCUGAACUUCCGAAUGGGCUGCGAUCCAAGAACAGAUACGUGUCUAAGAAAUGGGCUCAUCUAACCAUAUCUACAGCCCAGUAGUUUUGCAAGCUCUGUACCUUCUGUUCUGCAUGUCCAUGACCAUGUCUACAGCAGCGUCCUUCGCAGGUUGCUGUUGUUCUUUUUUUUUUUCAGAAAUCAGAACACAAAACAAUAGGGAGUUGCCGACAAAGAUUGAGCCUAAGUAUCUGUUCAACAAGAUCUGACUGAGCGUUGCUGAGUUUGCUCAGAGUUUGCUGCUUGCCACAUGUCAACACAAUAACACCAGCGGUACUAGUAACAGGAAUUGGAGGGAAGAAGCUAAAGUAUAGCAGAAGACGGGAUAAUUUGGAGAGCGGUGGAAGGAUUUUUGGAAUUAUUGUAUACUUAUUUAUCUUUUCUUUUUUUUCUCGAAUACGCAAGAGGAUUGCGUAUCAUUAUAUUAGAAGGGAAAGGAAAUUCGAACAAUACAAAACGAGUUCACCUGCCGUAGCAGGAAAUGAAAUAAAAACACUGCAGACUGUAACCAUCCUCGGUGGAUAGCGAUGCUACCCCCCGAGCCAAGAACUCCUAAAUUUCUUGCGCCCGCGCUCAUCCAUUGUUCGGCGUCUGCUUUGAUCACAGCCAGUAGCUCGAGUACGGUGAGUGUGGUCCCCCGAAAGCAACGCGCGUUCCGCUGCUUCCAUAUAUGCCAAGAGACGAGGGCGAACAGCGAGUCUGCGCCCUUCCUCGCCGGUCCAUGCCACAGGGCCCGGAUGCGCCUCCACCACGCGAUGACUGUCUGCUGCGCCGGUGGCAAUUGUUUGUCCAGACCGGACAGGAUGAGGAACCAUACCUCUCUAGUGAAAGGGCAGUUCGUCAGUAUGUGAUCGAUGGACUCAUUCGCCUGGUCACACAGGAAACACUCAGACUAUGCUUGCAGCCCGUGUCUCGCCCGACGAUCAUUGGUCCAGUGUCGCUUCUUGAAGGCCAGCCAAAGAAAGAUCUUUACCCGUAGCGGCGCCCAGGAGUUCCAGAUUAGCUUGUGGCCCCGAAAAAUGGUUCCACCAGCUUGAAGUUUGCAGUAGGCUGAUUUUGCCGUGUACUCCCCAUCGACUGUCCAUCGCCAGAUGGUUGUGUCCGGGCUAUCGGUAAGGAUGAUGUUCUCAGUGGCCGCCCAAAGAUCUAGGUACUCGCCAGCCUCAACAAUAGAGAGCCCGCCACAGAUCGAUCUUAUCCAAGCCCGUCCCGAUAGUCCUUGGCGCACCGUCAAGGUAGAUUUGAUUCUUCUGGGCACCUUUGUGGAAAGGUUGGGUGCGAUGUCACUGAUACCUUCUCCUUGGAUCCAUCGAUCCUCCCAGAACAAGGAAGAGUUGCCGUCACCGAGGAGCGUGAACGUGGAGGCCUUGAAGAAAGCCAAUACCUCUGGGUCGGCUUUGAUAGGUAGCUCACUCCAUGCUCUGGUGUUAUCCGUCUUUUGUAGCCACAACCACCUGGUUUGAAGGGCGUAGCCGACCAACUUCAAGUUUGAAAUGCCGAGCCCACCUAGUUCCGUUGGCCGACAGCAAGUUUCCCAGGCCACCAUGCAUCGGCCGCGCACCGAGGCAUCUUUGCCAACCCAAAGAAACUUCCUGCAGAUCGCAUCGAUCUCUUUGCGCACCCACGGAGGUAAACUGUCAGCCAUCGUCGAGUAGAUGGGGAUCGCCCUUAGGACGGACUUGAUCCAGAUCAGGCGACCGCUCCUUGCCAUGAGAGAUCCGUGGCAGGGCGGGAGCUUCCUUGCAACCGCUUCGAUCAACGCCUGAUGUUCUGCCUUUGGCACCUUCUUGGUGGUCAGGGGCAAACCAAGGUACCGUAGUGGGAACUGCUGCACCUGGCAGCCUAGGAUGCGCACGAUGUCGUUCAAGACCUCUUCACCGCCAUAGAUCGGGGUUACUGAGCACUUGGACAGAUUGGUUUGGAGUCCAGUCGCAGCUCCAAAGAUGGAAAGAAUUUCCUUUACUGCAAGGGCUUCUUGUAUGGUUGGUCUGAUGAAGAUGAUUGCAUCAUCGGCGUAGAUACUGCACUGAAAUUUGAUCCCAAGCGGCUCAAUAGGUCUCAGCACGCCAUCUGCACUUGCCUUUGCCAUCAGCCGGUGAAGGAUGUCCAUGGCCAGUAUGAAUAGCAUAGGUGAAAGGGAAUCCCCUUGGCGCACGCCCCGUAGGUGCCUGAUCGCUGGUCCUGGUGUUCCGUUAAGCAUUAUCUGGGAGGAUGCGGUGGCGAACAGCCCCUCAAUCCACUGGCACCAUCUCGGUCCGAACCCCCGCGCCCGAAGCAGCUCGAACAAAAAGGGCCAAGAGAGCGUGUCAAAGGCUUUGGAGAUGUCGAUCUUGAGAAGCAGCAUCGGCGUCUUCUUUUUGCGCAGCAUGACCGCGGCCCGUUGAACAUAUUUGAAAUUGUCGUGUAUGGUCCGCGAUCUGAUGAAUGCGUUUUGGUUUUUCUCCACCAGCGCGUCUAGCUUCGGCGCCAACCUGACCGCGAGGAUUUUUGAGAUUAGCUUGGCGAAGCUGUGGAUCAUGGAGAUUGGCCGAAAAUCGGAUGGCGCUGUUGCUCCGACCCGCUUGGGAAGAAGGAUGAUGAGGGCGUUGUUCAAUUUGCUCAUGCCGCGCCGAUCUCCUGCAGUGAACGCACUGACGGCGGCCAUCACGUCCUCCUGGAUUAUAUUCCAGGCGCUCUUGUAGAACGCCCCUGUGAAACCGUCCGGUCCUGGUGCUCGGUCCGCGGGCAACUGCUUGAUUGCGUGCCAAACUUCUUCCGCGGUGAUGUCCAGUUCAAGGUCCUCUAGCGGUACUGGGUGAAUCCCAAGUGCCGUAAAGUUCAGCGUGGUUCUAGUUGAUGGCGCUGCACCGAAGACUGAGCUGAAGUGAUCGAACAGCGCGCGUUCCAUGUCAUCGUGGUCCGCAGCGACAUGUUCAUCGAUGGUAAGAGAUGGGAUGUAGUUCCGGCGUUUCCUGCCCCUGGCGAUGAGGUGAAAGUACGCAGUGUUCGCGUCUCCCUCAGAGAGGUGGCGGAUACGCGAACGCUGUCUGGCGAUCGUCCGAUCGAGUGAGGAGAGGCCGAGGCAUCUGAGUUUCAUCCUCUUGCGCAGCUCCUGCUCUGUUUCGCUCAGCUGUCGCACUUCCUGCGCCGAGUCGAGGCAGUAGACGAGCUCUCGUGCCAUGAGGAGUUGCUCCUUCACCCCUCCGAUCCUCUUCGCUGACCAGCUUUGCAGGGCGCGGGUUAGAAUCCGAAGUCGAUCAUCAAGCCGUGCGAGUGGUCCCUGGUGACUGUCCGAUCCAUUCCAGGCGUCGUUUACAACAUGCUGAAAUUCCUCGAACCGUGGCCAGAACACCUCGAAGUGAAACCUGGCCUUGGACAUGCCUCCCAUGUUGGUGCACAGCAACAAAGGACAGUGGUCUGAGGCGUCCGAACCAAGAGAUCGUAGGUGGGCGUUGGUGAAUAUCUCGUCCCACUGUGUCCAGACAAGUACCCGAUCGAGUCGUUCCAGCGUGGGGUUCUGGCGCUCGUUACUCCAGGUGAAGCUGCGGCCAUGCAGGUGGACAUCGUGUAGCUCUAAGGCUCCCACUGUGUUCCUUGUCUUCGAUCCCUUCUCUCUAAACUCGCCCAGCUAUUUAACAGCUAAGGCACCUCAGUUCAUGGGUCUUGCCCUGUCCAUGUAUACAUCACACUACUAAGCCAUUCGUUCUGCCAUUGGGAACCCAAGAACAUUUGUUGGGCCUCCUCUUCAGUCCUCGCCCCAUCCCGUGCAUCUAGACUUGCCUCCACAUGUUCAGGUUCAGGACUGCUGACAUUGCCUCUUCUUGAGAUGCAGCUUGAUCCCAAGCAUGUGCAAAAGAGAAUUGUUGUUGCACAACCGUCGAAUCUUCCUAAGUUGCUUGACUCUCAGACCACCCCGACCGCCACUCGAUCCAUACUUGAUGAAAUGGAGACAAGAUGUGUGCCCAACGUUUCUGUAGGACAUGUUUAGGAACGCGUAAGAGUUCAAACCUUAUGGCAUCUUAUUGCUGCCAAGCAAAACAAGCGCUAAGGCUCUUGUAGCAGGUAGCUAUGAUCGAUUUGGUUCGACACCGUUGGAUCCCUUUUGCUUUACAUAUACACCCUGUACUGCAAUUCUGCAGACGAUCGCUUCAUCUCAUCAACCAUUGCGUGUAGGAAGCAAUACGCAUUCAGCUAGCUGCUAUAUAUAGAAACCUCUCCUGUCAGCUGCUCUUCCUCUGGUCCGAGAGGUAACCGCACAGAUCAGGAAAACUAGAGGUAGUGUUCACCCACCAAUCCGUGAUUGUCACAUCUGGAUACACAGCUGCUAGCUUUUUCACUAGGACGAACAGACUGAAUGCCAAUAGUAGCACUUCAUGUGCAUGCCACCGAUAUAUAUAUGUACCGAUGCUCACAAAACGUUGCGUGAGCGUGUAAUUAGGAUUCGGUAGAUAGACAAUUAAGCAUGUCACAAUCUGGUGUGUAUUCGGUGAACUUUGCGUCAAACAGCACACUCAACCAGCAUGUCACGAUCGGCCCCGUUUCGUUACCAAUUUUCGUUCGGUUUAAAGCAAAUAUAUGCACCGUUCCUUCAAAUAUAUGCAGUACAUUCGGUGCGGUAUUGCCACAAAUUAUUCAACCCGAUCGAGCUACAUGCUACUGAUGUGCUCGAUCAACGCAAACGCCGCAUUGCGCGUGCACAAUAUAGCUAUAGCACACUAGUAAUACUGUAUGUUGUCACGGUACACAUGAGGCCUAGCAGCCCAAGCAAGAAGAGUACAAGACACAAGAAGCUGAACCCGAAGUUUGUUGGCCCAACUUGGAGCAAGUAAUUAACCUGAAGCUCAGUCCAGCUGCGUCUGGAGAGCGUGCUGUGCUUAACAGCUGUGUAAUGAAUUCAGUUUAAGAAGAAGGAGAGAGAGCAAACUAGGGGAAAGUAAAAUAUUUUUUUUUCGAAAGACGGCAUAAAGAUUUUGCCGUAUUUUUAUUAGUCGAGGAAAAAAAAUGCAACAUAAUUACAACUCCCACUUAAAAACUCUCAACCACUGGAGGGAAAGUAAAAUAUGCCCUUUGCUAGAAUAUUGUUACAUAUGUGUUGGUGUGUGUGUGGUACAAACUCUUCAUAUCUAUACUUGUAUGGCGCGGCCUGACCCGCGUGCGCGGCUGCAUGCACUUGUGCGCGGCUGCUUGGCGAAGACCGAAGAGCGUGUUGCUGAGCAGCUGGUUGGAGGUGACGAAGCCCACCAGGAGCGUGCCCUGGAUCACCGUGUCAGGAUCUCCGACGCGCAAGGGUGCGUGUGCGGCGGGUUCUGCCCGCCGGCCGGGGACGAAGUCGAUGCGCGCCAGCGAGAUGCCCAGCGUGUUCAGCCCCGGGAUCUGGCCAUCUGGGCCACCGCCACCGGCGUCACGGCGGAGCCCUGCGCGCGCGUUUGGUGCCAUCGGCACUAUGUGGAAGAAGAUGUCGCGGUUGCGUUCACCACGUUCGGGUUCUUUUGCACACCACUCCGUUCACCGGCACUGCAUGCAUAUGCAUGCACACGUCCACCCGUGUCAGUACUUUUGUCGUCAUCGCAAAUCAUCAUACACAAUUAAUCACCUUUGAGUAGUAUACAUUGCAUGCAUGCCUUCAAUACAUGCAUAAAUAUAGAUAACUGAGCUCUCUCUGUAGACUGUAUAGUGCUGCAAAAGUUCAUGCUUUGUGUUGCAUGCACAUAUAUGUACCUGCCUACAAAUGUACUGUGUUUAUUUACCAGGGCUAUUGUUAUCAGCAACGCAGAAGUCCUGGAGCUGGGUUGGAUCACAGUUACCAGACCACGGGGACUGAAGUAAAACCCACAACCGCUAGCACUGCAAGCAGUGUAGUAGGAGAAAGGCACAGGAAGCCACGGCGCUGUUUCUUUGCUAGUGAUCAAGUGUGCUCGAUCAAGCUGCUUGAUUAGUUUGUGGUCUGCAACACUUGCCAGUGCACCAAUUUAAAGGUAGUGUUCACCCAACAGUCUGUGAUUCUCGCAUCUAGAUCAACACAUGAAAACAGAGAAUCACUUGCGUAACGGCGAGCAGUCAAACCAAACAGGCAUGCAACCACUAGUCAGAUACUCAGAUCAUAUAUGUGCCCACACGAUGUAUAUAAUAUUUUAUACAAGUUUGAAUAUAUAUCUUGAGAUGCAAAAUCUAUACCUAUACCUAUUAAUCUAUAUCUAUAUCUAUCUAUAUAUAUAUAUAUAUAUAUAUAUAUAUACCUAAUACUAAAGAGGCAAAAUUUCAGCCUCAAAUUUGGUCAGGAAAUUUUUUCGUCUAAUCCAAGUCCCAGUCCGUCUCAUACUUUUGUACCAGAUUUCAGAUCGAGUCCAAAACAAAAUCACAUACAAAUCAGUACCAUAUACCAGAUUCCAGGUAGAGCCAAAACGAAACCACAAACAAAUCAUGUAUCAUAUAUCCGACGGCAAUAGCUCCGCGAGCCUAGAAAAUCUGCUGACUGGAGCUAGAACGCGCACCUAGAGCCGAAAAAAAUAGCUUCACCCGGCUCGUCUUUGGUUUGGUCCGCUUCGGUAUCGCACUGAUUCGGAGAUGGGAUGUGGCGGCACGGGGAGGAAGAGAAGUGAGGGCGCGCUGAUUUGGGGAGGAGAAGGGCGAGAUAUAUCCGACGGCAAUAGCUCCGCGAGCCUAGAAAAUCUGCUGACUGGAGCUAGAACGCGCACCUGGAGCGGAAAAAAACAGCUUCACCUGGCUCGUCUUUGGUUUGGUCCGGAAUAACAAAACAUCUGGUACAGAUACACCGGAAUACACCUGUAACAAAACAUCUCAUUCCAAAUGAAAAUCCAAAAUGAAAUUGAUAAAUAUAAGUAUGCUCGAGACGGAGCUGAUAGGAAGUUCAAAGCGAAAGGAUAGUUAAGGUUCGGAAAUAGAAAAAUAAAUUUGGUGACUCUUGGAACAUAUUGUUGGGAGUUGAGUACAAUAAUUUUUAUUUCGUACUUCCACUCCUGCUAACUCAAUUUUUUAAUUGAUGGUUAAAAUACAAACCAACACAUAAUAACAGUCGAUUUAGUUAGACGCUCGCUUUUACCUUGACAUGAAGCACAAAUAAAUAGUGACUCUUUUUGGGUUGUUAUAUGAUCCAAUAAAAUUCAUUCUUUAUAUAGUGUUUGUGCACAACUUAUUUCAUGUUUGAGUUCGCAUCGCCUAAUCUUACUUUUGCAAAUACUUAACAUGUUUAACAAGACAAUGAUAAUUAUUUUCAAAAAAAAAUAUUUAUAUUAUAGAACAAAAUAGAUGAAGACAAAGACAAAUUAUGUUAAAUAAUGUCUUCCUGCCUCCGAAUUUAAAAGUUACAAAGUAUAUGUAACUAUGAAUAUAUAUGGUCUCCUUCACAUAUUUUAUUUGAUUGUCUACAUAUGAAUAUUGUGAACAUAGAUUGUAUAUGCAAAUAGAAAUCAUUAAGCAAUAAUGACGAGUAAUUUUAAAAAAGUCUCAAACCAUGUUUAAUUGUCAAUUCCUUAAUUAAAAAAAUGUUCAGUUGUUUAUUAGACUUGGACAUAUUAGUGUUUAUUCUCCCGUUGCAACACACGGGCAUGUUUUCCUAGUAUAUAUUAAACGAGGAUGUGGUUGGGAAGACAAGAAAUGAUGUUGAACCGUCGUUAGAUUUUGACAUAAAGAAAUGCACUUUUACAUGGAGGUCGUAUUCAUAGAACCACAUACUGGAUGAACUUAGGGUCCCUAUUCAAACCGACUAGGAUAUUGCUUUAUCCCUACGUCGAGUUUUCUUGCGCACAACUUUGUAGAUGGAUCAAGCUACGAAUCAUCUUGUAAUGGGCUAAAACUACCGACCCAAGUCUAGCCAUAAGGGUAUAGGAAUUUAUACUCCCACAACUAGUCCCCGAGCACCAUGUAUUAUGAAGCGACACACCGUCUUGAACUUCUUCGACCAGUGAUAAGGACAAUCUUUUUUCAUAAUUACCGAAAAAGUAGGUUGUCCAAAUAAUGCAUGGUGCUCUUAAGAAAGAAGAUUUCUUUUCUCGUGAAGUGUGCCGACUUUACUUUUAUGAAAAGUAUAAGCUUCUAAAAAGCAAGCAUAUUCACCGUAAGGUGAAGUGUGACCACUUAGUCCCCGAGCCUGGUGGUUGGCACAGUCCCCGAGCACAACGUAGAGACUAGUCGAUAAAUCUCCGAGUGUGGUUGGGAACAUAAACGUACUCGGUGGUCGGCAUAGUCUUCGAGCACAGCGUAGAGACUAGUUAACAAAUUCCCGAGCGUGGUUGGGAAUGUAAGCAUGCUCGGUGGUCGGAGCAAUCCCCGAACACAGCGUAGGGAAUGGUCGACGAGUCCCCAAGCGUAGCUUGUUAACUAGGCCAAACUCCUAAAAAAUAAAUAUAGAAAAUAUGUAAUACAUGAUGUAUAAAUAAACUCUAGAUAAAAAACAACACCCAGUUUUAGAUUUUUUGUUUUAUUAAAAUUAGCACGAAUAGUUAAUUUAUCCUAGAGCUUGUACCAGCUCUGGUCUAGCCAACAAUCUAGAGCAUGAGAUGCGGAAAGACACACAUAGGAUUGCCAGCCUCACUAGAGAGCUACUGCCGACCACCCGAAACGUAGAGGGCGGAUCUCGUGCAUGUGUGGGGAGGAGUCGGAGACAGUGCCGGCUCUAAAAAACUCGUGUAGAAGAAAAAACUAAUCGGCUAACCAAAAAGUUAUUUUGAAAGAUAAUAAUAUCAAAAAUAUUAUGCUAAAAAUAAAUAAAAAUAUUAGAAGUGCACUUUUCUUUGGACGAAAGUCUGUUCGGUGGCGACAAAAUUGUUUGAUCCUCAAGUUUUAUGAUGUGUUGUCAUGAAGGUGGUCGCGAGCGCUGUUCUUUGUAGCCAUCAUUAUUGCGACAUGACAGGUGGUCAGAGUAGGCCAAGAAACUUGGUCGAAAGCCCGAGCAGAUCGGUGUUGUCGAUCUGUCUCCUUUUGUAGCCGGGAAGCGGCGAUGUGUUGUCGACGUGGUCGGAGACGUUGCUGAAGUGGUCGAAGCCGUAGCCAGCGUGGUUAGAGCCGCAACCGACGUCGAUGAAGAAGUGAUCGGCGCAGAUUAGAUCUGCACCUCCUCCAUGGUCGUGGCGGUGAAGUCGUUGAAGCCGGUGGUCUAGGUAAUCUGGCCGAUGGUGAACGUGAGACCGCUCGUCACGGCCGUGGAGUCGGAGAUAAUGACCAUCUGCUUCGCCUGGGAAGCUGUACGCACACUCCCUACCUGGCGUGCCACUAUCGACGAAAGCUGGUUGGCAGUCUACCUUAGGGUAUACCCACAGUAGUAGUUUAUCGGCAGACAGGUGCGCAAACUACGAACUUGAUGGUGACGUAAGACACAAACAAGGAGUUUAUCUUGGUUCGGCCGCCGUAAAGGCGUAAUACCCCCUCCUUACAUAGUCUUGGGGACAAGGUUACAAAUGUAGAAAUUAAUCCUAACCGGUUACAAUUCAACCCAAGUCUAGUCAUAAGGAUAUAUGGAUUUAUAUCCUCACAUAUAUCUUUACCGGCCAUGGAUGAAAGUCAUCCGAUAGAUUUAUCACUUAUUAUUCCGUUUGAGUCUAUUCCACCCAAACUUGAAUAAUAAAGUCUUAUGAUUUAGUUUUUAACACAUCCGCAUUUUGAAAAUAGUGCAAAAAGGUUUUAUCCCUAUGAAACUAUAUUUAUUUUCAUAAAAUUUUUAUUAUUUCUCUCUUUAUUUAUAUGAUGCCAUGUCAACAUAUUUAAUAUUUAUAAAACUUCAAUGAAACUUUAUUAGGACUGAUAUAAAACUCUAAUGAAACUCGUCUGGGACACGUUCGAACUUUGAUAAUGGAUGCUUUAAGUACAUACCUUCUCAUCGUUUCUUUAUAUGUUUAUAAGUACGUACCUUCUCGUCCCCUUUUUUAUAUGUCAUUCUCGAAAAUUACUAAAUACUCUCUGAUAUUUUGAACUUUAAGAUAUCAUGUUUGACCGCUCGUCUUACUCAAAAUUUUUGUACAAAUUAUAAAAUAAAUAAAUUAUUAUUAAAAUAUCUCUAAUAAUCAAAUAAAUCAUAUAAAAUAAAUAAUAUUAUACAAAAAGUUAUAAUAAAAUAGAUGGUCAAAUAAAAUGUCUGAAAAUCAACGACAGCGUUUUUUAAAUGGAGGAAAGUAUAUAUUAAACAUAUUAAUAUUUAUAAUGCAUAAUCAGUAUCAUUCGUUAGACCUUUAAAUUUAUUUUUAUAAUAAAUUUAUUUAGAGAUAUAAAUAUUACUAUUAUUUUAUAUUAAUCUAGCUAAAGUAAAAAAAAAAGCUCGAACAGACACUCAGCGACACUCAAUAAGAGACAAGGGAGUAUAUGCUCCGUACAUCUCAUUCAAAGGACGACUAAGCAUGUGCAAAUAAGUCAAAAUAAGCCAAUGCACUGUAGUUGCGCACGCAUGCACUAAUGCCCAGUUCGCAAAAAUUUUCAAGAUUUUCCGUCACAUUGAAUCUUUGGUCGCAUGCAUGGAGCAUUAAAUAUAGAUGAAAAUAAAAACUAAUUGCACAGUUUAUCUGUAAUUUGUGAGAUGAAUCUUUUGAGUCUAGUUACUCCAUAAUUAGACAAUGUUUGUCAAAAAAACGAAAGUGCUACAGUAGCCAAAAACCCAAUUUUUUGCCACCUAAACAAGGCCACAUCUACAAUACCACUUGAAGCAACAGCUCUUGCUUUGGUAGAAGCGAACUCCUUUUUUUCCUUCUUCUAGCUAGAAAGAGACUUAUUUAUCAUCUGUUUCUCUGGUCCGAGCAAAUCGCACAUGCAUAUCAGAUAAAAAAAAUAUUGUCGCACAUAUCGGGAAUUAGUUACUGAUACGGAACAAUCAUCUGACACAUAUCUUCUCGUAGCAGUAGGACUUUCGUGCGCCUGUGACAAACGAAGCUGACAAAUUAACGUUCUGCGUGUGCGACUGUGUGUGAGAUGUGGACAUGUGGUAGUAUAGACUAUAGAGUACAGCUAAGGCUGUCACGAUUUGGUUUCUGUUCGGGCGUGCAAGGGCUACCGGCGGCUUCGACCGCCGCGACGUGCUCCUCGGCCUCGGCGGGGCGCGCGGCAGCGGCCGGCUUCCUCGAUCAAUAACGCUCUGCUAAAUUUGCUACAUUUAAUUUUGAUUUAAUUUUCCGGCCUCCUCGAUCAAUAACGCUCUGCUAAAUCUGCUACAUUUUGAGUUAUUUUUCUCAAUAAAUUUAGCUAGCUGUGUUCUAACAUGUAAGCCGUGGCUUCUUAUGGCUGCCGAGCAAAACAAGCGCUAAAGCUCUUGUAGCAGGUAGCUACGAUCAUUUUGGUUCGACAGCGUCCGAUCCCUUUUGCUUUACAUAUGUCUUUCACGCUAAAAACCAAAUUUUUUUCAAGAUUCUCUGUCACAUCGAAUCUUACGACAUAUGCAUAAAGUAUUAAAUAUAGAUGAAAACAAAAACUAAUUGCACAGUUUGUCUGUAAAUCGCAAUACAAAUCUUUUAAGACUAGUUACUUCAUGAUUGGAUAAUGUUUGUCAAAUAAAACCAAAAUACUAUAGUGUUACAAUUAAAAAUCUUUUUAGAUCUAAAUAUGGCGAUAUAUACUGCAGAUGAUCUCUCCAUCUCAACCAUGCAUUUGCGUGUAGUAGGAAGCAACAAAAAGCUAGCUGCUAUAAAUAGGCCAUGUUUGGUUAAAUGGAAGUCUAGUCUCUAUCUUAUUGAAUGUUUGAAUAUAUGUAUGAAGUAUGCUAUUUAUACGAAACUAAAAACAUAAAUUGAGACUAAUUUACAAGAUGAUUUUUUAAGACUAAUUAGUUCAUAAUUAAUGAUAGAUCCAUGAUUGCUACAAUAAAAAAGUGCUAAUGAUAAAUUAAUUAGACAUACUAAUUUCGUCUUAUAGAUUACUGACAGAAUUUGUAAUUUAUUUUCAUUAGUAUUUGAACACACCAUGAACCACAUCCGAGUCCUUACAUCCAAACACCCUAUAGAAACCUGACUCAUCUGUUCUCCGGUUAUAGGAGCUAAUCGCACUUACAGUCCAUGACUCAGCUCGCCUGUUGAUCGAUGUUUACAGCUGCUGCUUUUUCGUCGCGAAUGAUUGAACUGUUACCGAAUAUGGGAAAAAAUUAGGUAGAAACUCUGCACCAUGUCUCUGUAUAGACCCACUUUGGAUGGAAGAUACGUGUCCCAAAACUCCAAUCACACGGAGACACGAUAUAGGAGGUCUACAUCCAAGAUGCGUCUCUAUGGAGGAAUCCUGGUCUCUCCGUUGUGUGUGUGUGUGUGGUUGUGGUCAGUUUCGUGCCCGUGUGACAAACGAAGAUGACAACACUCUGCGUGUAAAUAUGGUACAGAGAGUAUAGAUAGCUAAAACCCACAUCGAAUAUUUAGAAACAUACAUGAAGUAUUAAAUAUAAAUUAUUUAUGAAACUAAAAAUACAGCUAGAGAAUAAUUUACAAGACGAUUUUUAAAUCUAAAUAGUCUAUAAUUAAACAAUAAUUACUAUAAUUACAAAUAUACUAAAGUGUGUGUAUAUAUAUAUAUAUAUAUAUAUAUAUAUAUAUAUAUAUAUAUAUAUAUAUAUAUAUAUAUAUAUAUAUAUAUAUAUAUAUAUAUAUAAAAUUUUAGUUCCUUCAACCAAACAUCCGCAUGUCACGAUUUGGUGUGUUCAGUGAAUUUGUCAAAUACGGUCCAUACUUAGGCCUUGUUUUUACUUCCCAAAAAUUUUAUGAAGUUUUUUAAAAUUAUUUCCCAUCAUAUCGAAUCUUAUGACACAUGUAUGAAAUAUUAAAUAUAGAUAAAAAAUAACUAAUUGCACAGUUUCCCUGUAAUUUACGAGACGAAUCUUUUGAACAUAGUUAGUCUAUGAUUGGACAAUAUUUGUCAAAUAUAAACAAAAUGCUACAGUGUUCAUUUUAUAAAAAUUUUGGUAACUAAACAAAGCCUUAGCUAUCUAUACAUAGGGAUAGAUCGCAGUGAGAAUGAACCGAUGAAAACCGGCUGACCUAAACUCUGAUCUCCAAGGCUGGAGGGUAAGUUCUCCACUAGUAGUUGUGUUAUAGUAGUGUUCCUCAUUCUAUUUGACCCAAAUUAAAUCGGCGGUUUAACCGAUUGGACCAAUCAAAUCCGGUUCGGUCCUAGUAACUUGGGUACAGAUAGCUACGCGGGUCUGGAGUCUAUACCAGCAGCAUGUUACGACGAUCGUCCCCCGGCCCUGCCCGUUUCGUUGCCAAGCAAGUUUGGUCGUUUUUUUUUUUUGGAACAAGUUUGGUCGGUUUAAAACAAGUGCCGUGCAUCGCAAAAUACAGCAACACUUUCUCUUGGUCUACGAGGAACUAUAUAGACGUAGCACGAGUAGUUGGCAAUGAACCAAACCUCGACACGGCACAUGCAGCAGUAGCACGUGACAAACAACCAAAUCAAACAUCCAGUCCACUAGCUAGCCGAUCAUAGUUUUUUUUUUUACGGAACCUAGCCGAUCAUAGUUCUAUAUAUACUCCUAUAUAUAGCCACUCGCUAAACCAUGGCACGCCAUCGGUCGCAGCUCACAAGCAGCGCCAUGGGGAGCGCCACCAUGCCACGAAGUUUCGCCGCGCCACGCGCGCCAUGCCGCAGCCUCCAUACGCUCAGGUGCAGGUGCAAGGCUACCGGCGGCGCCGACCGCCGCGACGUGCUCCUCGGCCUCGGCGGGGCGGCGGCGGCCGGCCUCCUCAGCUCGUCGUUGUCGAACCGCGGCGGUGCGCUCGCGGCGCCCAUCCCGGCGCCGAACCUCAGCAACUGCCAUCCACCUGACCUCCCCGACACGGUGAGCGACAUCAACUGCUGCCCGCCGGGCGCGGGGACGGCGAUCGUCGACUUCACGCCGCCGCCGACGGUCGGGCGCCGCGUGCGCCCGGCCGCGCACCUGGUGGACGAGGAGUACGUUGCCAAGUACGAGAAGGCCGUGGCGCUGAUGAAGGAACUGCCGGACGACGACCCGCGCAGCUUCACGCAGCAGUGGCGCGUGCACUGCGCCUACUGCGACGGCGCGUUCGACCAGGUCGGGUUCCCGGACCUGGAGAUCCAGAUACACAACUGCUGGCUCUUCUUCCCGUGGCACAGGUGACGACGACGGUUCCAUGCAUGCUGGCGUCAUGUGAUCUUAGCUUGCUCGUGUAUAUGCUUUAGCGAUUGAUAAUAAUUAAUUAACGUGCAACUUUUGUGAACGUCGUUGCACUGCUUAGUUAGUUUCACAAAUUGGACAACGCGUGCAGGUUGUACCUGUACUUCCACGAAAGGAUUCUUGGGAAGCUCAUCGGCGACGACAAGUUUGCGCUGCCGUUCUGGAACUGGGACGCGCCCGGCGGCAUGUCGCUGCCGGCGAUCUACGCCAACAAGUCCUCCCCGCUGUACGACGAAAGGCGUGACCCUGCUCACCAGCCGCCAUUCACGGUGGACCUCGACUACGACAGGAUCGAGCAAAACAUCCCAAGAGCUCAGCAGAUCGAUCAGAACCUGAUGAUCAUGUACCGUCAGGUCAGUGUUAGUAUAGCUAGCUAGCUGGCUGUGUCUUGUUGUACGAAAUAUUACACCCUCGAUCAGGUGUCAGGUUUGCUAGUGCGACACUGCACUAACAGUGAACACUCAGUUCUUGGACGUAACUGAACACUUGAUCUUAAAACUUUAAAAUUGAACACUUGAUGUCUGAUUAGCAUAUGGAUGAUACACAUGCAUGUCUCUACUCUACGUCAGAUGAUCUCCGGUGCCAAGAAGAAGGAACUCUUCUUUGGGCUGCCUUACCACCAGGGCGACCAGCCAGACCCAGGCGCAGGCACCGUAGAGAGCGUCCCGCACGGCCCAGUACACUUCUGGAGCGGCGACCCGAGCCAGCCGAACAACGAGGACAUGGGCAACUUCUACUCCGCCGCGCGCGAUCCACUCUUCUUCGCGCACCACGGCAACAUCGACCGCCUGUGGUCGGUCUGGAACGGCCUCCGCGCCGGCAACACCAACUUCACCGACCCCGACUGGCUGAACGCCAGCUUCCUCUUCUACGACGAGGAGGCCCGCCUCGUGCGCGUCCGCGUCCGCGACUGCCUGGACACCGCUGCCCUGGGCUACAGCUACCAGGAUGUUGCCCUGCCGUGGCUGAACGCCAGGCCGACCACGGAGACCGGUUCUCCGGUUCCCGCCGCGGGCGCGCUCCCGGCGACCCUGAACCAGACCGUGAGGGUGGCCGUGACGCGGCCCAGGACCUCGAGGACCCGCCAGGAGAAGGACGCGGAGGAGGAGGUGCUGGUCGUCGAGGGGAUCGAGGUCGCCGACCACUUCAGCAGGUUCGUCAAGUUCGACGUGUUCGUGAACGAGUGCCAGGGCGGGGGCGGCAUGGGGGCGGCGGUGGCGCAGUGCGCGGGGAGCGUGGCGAUGACGCCGCACCUGGUUCGGCCCGGGAAGGGUAGGGGCUCCGUGAAGACCGCGGCGAGGUUCGGCAUCUGCGACCUGCUCGACAACAUCGGCGCUGACGGGGACAAGACGAUCGUCGUGUCGCUCGUGCCGAGGUGCGCCGGAGACAUGGUUACUGUCGGUGGCGUCCGGAUCGAGUAUGUUAAGUGAGGUCCUUCUAUUACGUCCUACCCUCCUACGAGUACAUCUCACAAGUGCUAGGGCCUAGAGACAACUGCUCUACGACCAGGAGUAUAUAUCAGGUAUACAUGAAUAACUGUGUGAUGCUGUACGUGUAUGGACGACUCCUGUUGAACUAUAUAUGUAGGGAACUAUUUGGGAUUGUGUUUGCGUGCCGCCGUGAUUAUAUAAUAUGGGCCAAUGUCAAUGCGACAUCAAUAAUUAACAAAUAAGGGCAUUAGUGUCUGUAAUGUGUAACAGCAUGACCAUAGAGAACAGUGACUACCGUGUCGCCGGAGAAAAACUUGUAAUGCGAUCGGAGAAAGGGUGGACACCAAUGGCAGUAUGUGGGGUGUAAAGCGCCACUCAGAUUGCUCAGAAGAUGGCAGAACCGCAUGUCAAACCAGUGACCGAUGUAAUGGUGUAGAUAAAUCACGACAUACGGAACUCAUCCAUUAACCAAAUCAAGGAAAAGCUGUACACAAAUUACGACAUACAAUACUAUCCAUUAAUCAACUCAAGGAGAUGCUCUAGAGAAAUUACGACAUAUGAAAUUCAUCCAUUCUCCAAUAUACCCAUUCGAAAGUGGCCCACACGAUGUAUGUGUGUGUGCGCGCGCGCGUGAUUCCCGUGUACUCAUCCGGGGUGUUCAGUACUAUUCACCACCAAGGCCUCGGAAUAGUGUGUGUAUAUGAGAGAGAGAGAGAGAGAGAGAUGCAACAUGCAUAUUUAUUUUUUAGACAAAGAAAUUACAUGCAUGUUUAUUAAGUUGUUGUAGAAAUUAGUAAACGAAGAUGUGGUUUGAAAGGCAAGAAAUGAUGUUGAAUGGUCGUUAGAUUUUGACAUAAAGAGUAUUCACUCUAUUACAUGCAGGUCAUCUUUAUAGAGCCACACACACUGGAUGAUAAGCUUAGGGUCCUGUUGCAAAAGUAGAAUACUGAAUAAUUAAGAUGCUGUGGAAACGACAGUCAUGGAUAUCUUUACCGGCCAUGCAUGGAUGAAAGUCAUCCGAUAGAGAUUUAUCACUUACUAUUCCGUUUGAGCCUAUUCCACCCAAACUUUAAUAAUAAAUGAUUUUGGAGGAUACGUUCGAACUUUGAUAAUGUAUGGCUUAUUAAGUAAUUCCCCGUCCAUUUUUAUACAUCGUUCUCACUCCUCAAACGUGUACCUAACUUUUACUAAAUAUAUAUUAAAAUAUUAAUAUUUAUAAUACAUAAUUAGUACCACUAGAUAGAUCUUUAAUUUAUUUUUACAAAAAAUUUAUUUAAAAAUACAAAUAUUUGCUAAUAUUUUAUAUUAAUCUAGUUAAGAUUAAAAAAAGUUUAACUAACACUCAUCUCAUAUAUAGCGACACAGACUAAGGGAUAGAGGGAAUAUUCCGUAUACAUCCUAUUCAAAGGACGACAUAAGCCUGUUUAAAUAAGUCAAAAUAAACCAAUGUGUUUUUUUAAAGGAAAAUAUAGUUGCACGCACCAACUUCAACUUGUGUGAGCACAUCUACAGUACCUCUUGCAGCAACAGCUCUUGUUUUUUUUUUUUUUGAAGGAAACAGCUCUUGCUUUAGUAGAAGCGAAUUCCCUUUUUCCCUUCUUCGAUCUGAAAAGAGACUUAUCAUCUGUUCUCUGGUCCAGGCAAAUCGCACAUAUCAGAAAAAGUGGUUUUUGCCACUUACCAAGUCCGAUCGAUGUUUACAGUAGGACUUUCGUGUGCUGCUGCUAGUACGUAGGUUCUCCUUUUUUCGUCGGAAAUAAUUAGUUACUCAUACGGAAUAAUGUGAACCGUCAUCUGCUCAUCACCAUCGUGGUUAUAGCAGUAGGACUUUCGUGCGCGUGUGACAAAAACGAAGCUGACAAACGUUCUGCGUGUGUGUCAGAUCGAUGUGGUAUAUAGCUAAGGCUAUCAGGAUAUAUUUGGUGUGUGGUACGAGUUCGAUCGGGCGCAUAUAGCUUGUCUAUACCAGCAGCAUGGUACACGAUCAUCGGCCCCCAGCCCGUUUCGUUAAUUACAGCGCAAGUUUUGUUCGGUUUAAAGUAUGCAUGUGCCGUGCGUGCAUCGCAAAAUUACAGUCACACACGACAAAGCAUAUGUAUAGACGUAUAGCACGUACUCCACCUGGCAACGAACCAAUCCUCGACACUUACGACACAUGUACGUAGAGUAGCACGUAACAAAACAAGCUAGUAGACCACAUGGUACGGCACAUCCAGCCCUAGCUAGUCGAUCAAUCACAUGUCCACACGUUCUGUAUAUUGCUUCUCGCGCUAAACUAUGGCAUUGGGCAAAAAAAACUUUUACCGAAUAAGACUCUGCCGAGACCCUUUUACCGAGUGUAAAUAUAUAUGGCUUUACCGAAACACUUGGCAAAGCAACUGGCUGCCGUAACAGGCCGGCCGAUCACAUGUCAUGCAACUCACAGGUUCACACUUCGUUCACAGCAGGUUCAUCACUGAGCAGCAGCUAGCGCCAUGGAGAGCAUCAUGUACUCAUGCCACGAGGUUUCGCCGCUCGUCGCGCGCCAUGCAUACCAUACUGUACGUACGUAGCCUCCAGACGCUCAGGAUGCAACGCUCUACCGGCGGUGCCCGACCGCCGCGACGUGCUCCUCGGCCUCGGUGUGGAGCGGCAGCUAGCGGCCGGCCUCCUCGAUCAAUAACGUCUUGCUAAAUUUGCUACAUUUUGAGUUUUCUCGUCAAUAAAUUUGGCUAGCUGUUCUAACCUUUAAGCCGUGGCAUCUUAUGACUGCCAAGCAAAACAAGCGCUAAAGCUCUUGUAGCAGGUAGCUACAAUCGUUUUGGUUCGACAGCCUCCAAUCCCUUUUGCUACUUAUAUAUGUACACCCUGCACUGCAAAUGCAUAUAUGAUCUCUUCAUCUCAACCAUUAAGAUAGGAACCUCUCAUCUGUACAUUCUUCUUCUUCCUCCGGUACGAGCUAACCGCACGUACAGAUCAGGAAAAUUAAAGGUAGGGUUCACCCAUCUGUCCGUGAUUCUCGCAUCUAGAUAGUUUAUCUGCGCUCACAAAUUGUUGCGUGUGUGUAAUUAGAUUCGGUUGAUAGAUAAGCAUGUCACGAUCUCGUGUACUUGUAUUCCGGUGAACUUUGCGUCAAACUGCAGCACCCAGGCCCAUAUAUACGUACUACUCAACCAGCAUGUCACGACCGGCUCCCUUUCGUUACCAAGUUUCCUUCGGUUUAAAAGCAUACAUAUAUAUGCACCGUUCUUUCAUUACUUUCUCCAGCUCCUGGAGGAGAAGACACGACCCAUAGCAUCACUUGCGUAUAACAAACUGUCAAACAACCAAACAGGCACGCAUCAGCAGUGAGAUACUCAGGUCAUAUGUACCCAUGAUGCCGUCUCGCAAAAAAAAUGUACCGAUGAUGUCAUAAUACUACAUCUAGAUAUAUAUACUCCCUCUACUCUAACUUGUAAGUAUUUUUCUAGCUUUUUUAAAUAUAUAAUUUUUGUUAUGCGGACGAGCCAAUAGCUCGGUUGGUAAAGCAUCCCCAUUGUGCAAUGAUGUAGGUCAGGAGUUCGACUCCCCACCUCCAUAUACGCAGGUUUGCUAGUUGUAAAUAAAAUUUUUCGUUUGUCCCAUGUCAAAGCACAGGUCUAAGGUUAGCCCUAGUCUUACGUGUGUUGCGGUACCGCUACGUAUGGGUAGGGCAGAGGUUCAAGUUUUUCUUGACCUAUAUGAAAAAAGUCUUCUUCUUAAUCACAAUGUCUGACCUACACACAAAGAUCCUAAGCACAGUGCCCCCGGUGUUGACACUCAAAAGUGUCCCAACAUGAAAUAUGGGCAUAACCAACACGUUUCUGACAUCCCAGAGGUGUUGGAAAUAGUUGGUGAAGUAAUCAAACAAAAAAGGAAGAAAGUGGCGUCUGCCUUGGCAGAGCCGACUUGGCUGACUUUGCAUAGUCGAUAAAACUAGUUCUUCAUGCCCCAAUUCGCUUAGCCGACUCCUAAGUCGGCUAAGCCGACUUUCCUCUAUGUCGGCCAAGCCACAAUGCUCAAACCUCGUGAAAAUCGGCUCAGCCGACUCCCAAGUCGGCUAAAGCCGGCUUUCAUUGGUAUUCCGAGUCAGUUUGGUUUCCGAAACAGUUUUGGACCCAUUUUAAACAGGGAAUUUGGAGAAUGUGUUUUGGAAUUGUUUCCUAGUAAGAUAAAACCACGCCGUCUCUAUAUACGAAAGGAUCAUGGUCGAUUAAGGAUCCCAACUUACAAUCAUCAAAAUACAUCUAUUACAGGCCUUUUACCCUCUUUUCUCCCUAUUCGUCAGUUCGUCACGUCUCCUAGCGAGAUUUAAUGGCGUUCGAGGCACCCUUGCUAGUCUUAGGAAACCCUCCGUGUGCUCCUCCUCGACGGAUCUUCCCAAGAGAUGCUCAAAAUUCUAACAGGUGAAAAACAGGCUCGACAUUGGCCUAACCGAUCUCUAGAUUGGUGUCUCGGUUCGCUGCAUUCUUGCUGUGAUCAAGGUCAUGUGUUUACCGUAGAUAUGCUAACCGUAGCUGGUGUGCGAUCCGAAACACUAUCCAACAUCAUUGCACCAACACCCAGGGGCCGUCGUAAUCCCUGCAGGUCGAGCUUUUUUUUGAGGGGGAGGGGGAGAGGGGAUGGACUUAGAUAUAUAUAUAUAUAUAUAUAUAUAUAUAUAUAUAUAUAUAUAUAUAUAUAUAUAUAUAUAUAUAUAUAUAUAUAUAUAUAUAUAUAUAUAAGUUAAAACAAGUUAUAAUUAGAAGGAAGGGAUAUAAAAAACUAUUCAAUCAUCUGUUCUGGUCGUCAGAGCUAAUCGCACUUACCAGUCCAUGACUCGCCUGUCAAACGACGAUGUUUAUAGCUGCUGCUUUUUUCGUCGGGAUUAAUGAACUGAUAGCGAAUGUGAACUGUGUGAUCUCCAUCCUACGGGGGUUAGCAGUAGCACUUACGUGCGCGUGUGACAAACGAAGCUGACAGCAUUCUGCGUGUGAGAUGUGGUACAGAUAGAGAGUAUAUAACUCUAAGCAUGUCACGAUUUAGUGUGUUCGGUGAAUUUUGCGUCAAAUUAAACGACCCAUACUUAGCUAUCAACAUUCUGCGUGUGAGAUGUGAUACAUAGAGUUAGAUAGCUACAGUACGUAAUUUUCUCUUGGUCUACGAGGAACUAUAUAUAUAGACGUACGUAGCACGCAUAGUUUUUUGAAACGAUUUUUUGUUUUUUUGAAACACGAGUAGCACGCAUAGUUGGCAACGAACCAAACAUCGACACGACACAUGUAGCAGUAGCACGUAAUAAACAGCCAAAUGAAACAUCAGUCUAGUAGCCGAUCAUAGCUCACACGUUCUAUAUAUAGCCACUCGAUCGGUAAACCAUGGCACGGCACCGAUCGCAGCUCACAAAGUUCACACACUUCACAGCACGCUCACCACUGAGCAGCACCUAGCGCCAUGUUGAGCGCCACCAUGCCACGAGGUUUCGCCGCGCUUCGCGCGCCGCCAUGCUGCAGCCUCCAGACGACGCUGAGGUGCAAGGCUACCGGCGGCGCCGACCGCCGUGACGUGCUCCUCGGCCUCGGCGGCGCGGCAGCGGCCGGCCUCCUCACGUCGUCGUCCAGCCGCGGCGGUGCGAUCGCGGCGCCGAUCCAGGCGCCGGACCUCCGGGACUGCCACCCGCCCGACCUCCCCGACACGGUGGGCGACGUCAACUGCUGCCCGCCGGGCGCGGGGACGGCGAUCGUCGACUUCACGCUGCCGCCGGCGGUCGGGCUCCGCGUUCGCCCGGCCGCGCACCUGGUGGACGAGGAGUACCUGGCCAAGUACGAGAAGGCCGUGGCGCUGAUGAAGGAACUGCCGGACGACGACCCGCGCAGCUUCGCGCAGCAGUGGCGCGUGCACUGCGCCAACUGCGACGGCGCGUUCGACCAGGUCGGGUUCCCGGACCUGGAGAUCCAGAUACACAACUGCUGGCUCUUCUUCCCGUGGCACAGGUGACGACGACGGAUCCAUGCAUGCUGGCGUACGUGUAGGGUGUCACAUGUGAACUAAGGCUCGUGUAUGCUUUAGCGAUUAAUAAUUAAUUAACGUGCAACUUUUGUUCUGAAGUUCAACGUCUAUUGCACUGCUUAAUUAGUUCUCUUUCACAAAUUGGACAACGCGUGCAGGUUCUACCUGUACUUCCACGAAAGGAUUCUUGGGAAGCUCAUCGGCGACGACAAGUUUGCACUGCCGUUCUGGAACUGGGACGCGCCCGGCGGCAUGUCGAUGCCGGCGAUCUACGCCAACAAGACCUCCCCGCUGUACGACGAAAGGCGUGACCCUGCUCACCAGCCGCCAUUCACGCUGGACCUCGACUACGACGGGACCGAGCCAACCAUACCAAGACAUCAGCAGAUCGAUCAGAACCUAAUGAUUAUGUACCGUCAGGUCAGUGUUAGUAUAGUCUUGUUGUACGCAAUAUUACAACCUCAGUUCUUGGAAGACCGCACUAACAUUGAACACUCAGUUCUUCGACGUAAUUGAACACUUCAUCACUGAUUAGCAUACGGAUGGAUACACAUGUAUGUCUCUUAUAUACGCCAGAUGAUCUCCGGUGCCAAGAAGAAGGAGCUCUUCUUUGGGCUUCCUUACCACCAGGGCGACCAGCCAGACCCCGGCGCAGGCAGCGUCGAGCUCAUCCCGCACAACACAGUACACUUCUGGAGCGGCGAUCCGAGGCAGCCCAACGGAGAGGACAUGGGCAACUUCUACUCCGCCGCGCGCGAUCCGCUCUUCUUCGCGCACCACGGCAACAUCGACCGCCUGUGGUCGGUCUGGAACGGCCUCCGCGCCGGCAACACCAACUUCACCGACCCCGACUGGCUGAACGCCAGCUUCCUUUUCUACGACGAGGAGGCCCGCCUCGUGCGCGUCCGCGUCCGCGACUGCCUCGACACGGCCGCCCUGGGAUACACCUACCAGGACGUCGCCCUGCCGUGGCUGAACGCCAAGCCGACCACGGAGACCGGGUCUCCGGCGCCCGCCGCGGGCGCGCUCCCGGCGACCCUGAACCGGACCGUGAGGGUGGCCGUGACGCGGCCCAGGACCUCGAGGACCCGCCAGGAGAAGGACGCGGAGGAGGAGGUGCUGGUCGUCGAGGGGAUCGAGGUCGCCGACCACUUCAGCAGGUUCGUCAAGUUCGACUUGUUCGUGAA
rnacentral:lncRNA from 1 species